rnacentral:lncRNA from 1 species
AGGAAGCUUAGGAACUGGUGGAAAGGGUUUCUUGAAGGGGAAUGGUGGUUUUGGGAAAAAUGGGAAAGGUGGAAGUGGCUUCUGGUACACGGGAGGCUUGUAGAUUGGCACCGCCGGUGGGAGUGGCUUCUGGUACACCGGAGGCUUGUAGAUUGGCACCGGCGGUGGAAGUGGCUUCUGGUACACGGGAGGCUUGUAGAUUGGCACCGGCGGUGGGAGUGGCUUCUGGUACACGGGAGGCUUGUAGAUUGGCACCGGAGGCUUGUAGAUUGGCACCGGCGGUGGGAGUGGCUUCUGGUACACAGGAGGCUUGUAGAUUGGCACCGGCGGUGGGAGUGGCUUCUGGUACACAGGAGGCUUGUAGAUUGGCACUGGCGGUGGGAGUGGCUUCUGGUACACAGGAGGCUUGUAGAUUGGCACGGGCGGUGGACAUGGCUUUUUGACUACUGGAGGCUUGUAGAUUGGCACUGGCGGUGGAAGUGGCUUCUUGUACACCGGAGGCUUGUAGAUUGGCACGGGGGGUGGAAGAGGUUUUAUGAUUGGAGGAGGCUUGAUUAUGGGAACAGGCGGAGGAAGUGGUUUUUUGUAGAUUGGGAUUGGUGGUGGAAGUGGCUUCUUGUAAAUAGGGAUUGGUGGGAGUGGUUUCUUGUAGAUUGGGGGGAAAGGCAACUUAGGCAAAGGAGGGUGUGUAAACCAGGGAUGGCCCGUGGGCAAAGGUGGAUUCUUGAAGAAUGGCCACAAGAAAGCUGAAGCACACAGUGCUGAGGUGAACUUGACACUUUCAGCUGGACCAAAAGUCAGUUUUCCAUCAGUAUCUGGCUUGGCUACAAUUUUGUUGGCUUCAAGGCCAUUGUGCGCUGGGCAUGGGGUUGCUGAUGCACUAUGGAGUUGUGCAAAGCACUCCUCAUCUAGUUUCCCAUCUUUCAGAAUUUCUCUGGGAACGGAUACCCUGAACUUCCCUUCUGAAUCAAGCUCUCCAGAACCCCUUCUUGUCACCUCUCCAUUUUUGAGCUUGCAAUCAACAGUCACACGUAGCCCUGCAAAAGGCAAAAUCAAGAAUAUUCAAGGACUCUUUAUAAAGACGAUAGACUACACUGCAUGCAUUUUGGCCAUCAGUAGCAGAUACUUUUGGUUAUUUUUGUCAAUUAGCCUGAAUCCAUGCCAUGCCUCUCUCAACUGCAAAAUCUUUACUGCUGCGGCCCCAUUUAAGUAAAGUUAAAAUGAGCCAACAUCAUCAGAUCAAGGAUUAAUGCAUGGGACAAGCAUGAGAUGUAGACAGAGAUCUACCACACAAGUAAUUAAGUACAUGUACAGGUUCCAGUAAGUACAGCCGAAAGAAUGGCCUGCCAUUUUUAGUAAAUUUGGGAAUAUAUUGAAAGCGGUCAUGCUGUGCAAUUUGAGCUGUUUCACAUGAGCAAGCUAGGAUAAAACUAGUACGUUGUCAGAUACCCCUUACAAAAAGGUACCCAGGAUAGGACAAACCUGAGAAGGCCUGGCUAGUCUUGAUCUUAAAGUCCUUGCAAUCUGCGCAUUCUCCAGCCCCAACAACCUGGACCGUUUUGUCAUCAGCACGGCAAAAGCUGACAACAAAGAAGAUGCUAACCAAUAAGAACAGGAGAUGGGAAACACCCCUCAUUGAGUUUGCGGUUCCCUUCUCUCUUGUGAAACUAGUUUUGAGUGAUUUGAGUCAGAAAAGCGUUGUCAUAUAUAUAAUGAUGAUGAUCGCCAGGGGGAAGGGUCCGCCGACACCAAAACUUAAAGGGCAUCACAUGAGGUUAGGUCCCAGUGAGCUUGACUUAUGCCCCGGGAAAACAUUUCUCAAGCAUAAGUGAUCAAUGGCCAUUAUCUUCAUUCAAUGUCCUUUCAACUGCACAACCCGACUUUGUCCAUCUGUAAACCUACUUACCAGCGCCAUAAUUAAAUAUCACUCGCUAUUCUAAAAUCCCAUGUUGAAUUCGUGAAAGAUUUAUAUUGGGCUUUCUUUAGUUCCAAGAGUUAUUUUUGGCAGCAAAGCAUGGGCUCUAGCCAGUAAAGAAGUACCUGGACUUCUUGCUUAGAGAAUUACACACACACAAACAGAAAAACAAAAAGAGAAGGGCGCCAUGUGCUAGACAUUAAGUGACUAACUCCAAAAUCUCAAAAUCCAUGUGAAUAAACAAGCUUUUUACCCUAAUAAAUGAAUUUCCUCAACAGUCUCUCGGCCUUGCUGCAAUUCGAUUGGCCAGUAUUCAACCGUACAAGAAUUGCUUUCUUUCCAUUGCAUAAUGCACGAGAGACUGUUAAACAUGUCAGAUUAUGAGAAACUAUAUGUUGUUAUUGUUUCGCCAUGUCAGACUGUGGGAUACGGAAUUUUGAUUACAUACAGUAAUGGGUUAGAGCAAGGAGUAGUUAAGCUCUAGUUCGUACCCAAUAAUCGAGUUGCUACUGGAAAAAACUUGAAUGCAGCAGCUGGAUGGCAAUAAUGUUCACACUGCCCAUGGCUCUUGACUAGAAACUUGGCCUAAUUGAUCGGCCACUCUAACCAACCAAAGCAUGCUUCCCACCUAUGUUUCAAGGGCACAUGCACAGCCCCUUUCGGCCAGGAAGACAAGUAGGUGGCUGAAUUGUAAAGACUAGCUCAAAAAGACAGAUUUAAACAUGAAAAUGAUGUUCUAGCUAAUUAACAGGCGCUUUACUCGAUUCCUCCUGUGUAACAUUCCACGAAUUCAAAUGAGAGCCCUAAAGUUCCCUUCCGAUUCUUAGUAUUGAGAGCUGCAAUUAACCAUCCUAUAUAGUGUUCCGUAGGGAAGUUAAAAGCCUCAAAGGUCAUUCCUAAAUGGGAGUGAAAACAAGAAAUGGAAGUUCUUGCUAAAAAAGAAGAAGGAAGAAAGGUUGGGAUGCAGUGUUUGAUAAUGCCCGUCCGACACAAGAAAGAUAAUGUCCCCUGUAGAAAGAUAAUUACCAUAGAAGCCGCACACAAGGCUAUCAAAAAACUGAAUAAUGUAACGUGGUAAAGUAGCAUAUCAUGUACCAUGAAAUAGCUCUCCAUAGUUAAUUAAUCAAUCACUGCUGAUCAAUUCAGUCGUAGAAUUUGAGCGUAAACUAGGUUCAAAAGAUUGGUGAAAUGAGAUACUCCCUCCGUCCCACCUUCUUGAUAGUCCUGUUUUCCUUUUUCGUCUGUCCCAAAUUGUAGUCCACUUUCCAAUUGAAGAAUGUAGUUAUAUUUUAACUUUCAUAAAAUACCCUUAUUUAAUGUAAGUUGUUAUUACUAUAAACCUACCUACCCCAUUUAAUGAGAGUUAAUUCUCUUUUUACCAUCAAUUCAAGUUCCCAUAAAAUUGUACUCUAUUUAAUGUGAGAGUAUUUUAAAAAAAUAGCAAUCUAAAUUUAUUUUUCUAAUAAAAUUAACUACUUUUUCUUAAACUGUGUGAAAAAAGAGACCGAACUAUUAAGGUGGGACGGAGGGAGUACAUGUAAAGAACAUAAAACAAAAGAAAGAAAAACUGGUAAACGAAAAGGACUUGCAUGAAGUAGAGAAGAAAUCAGGUUAGAAUGGGUUUUGGUUGCUUUCUGGUACGCCAGUUUAAAUCACCUCAUCUAAGUUAAGCGACACUUAACCAGAAGAUUCGGUCCAUUUAAUGUAAAUGAAUCAACAAUCUGACUGUUUUGCUGACCAGAAGUGGGCCCAAUGAAGAAAAGAAAGCUCAAACCGAGCGAAUUAGUAGUACUUAAAAUAUAUAUAUAUAUUGGGAGUGCAGCUUAAGACGGUCAAUUUAUUAUUGCGUUUUCUGUUUCUUUAGUGUGUAUGAAAUGAACCCGCAUCUUGACUUGAUUUUGGUGUUCCUUUAACCAGCCCCUCAAUAGUGACAGAUAAUAGUCUCUGCGGCAUUAAUGUCCGGGGCAAAUAUCUGCGAUAUGUGCUUUGGAUUUGUUAAAGUCCUCAUAAUGCAGGAAGCUCUGUAGCCACUAAUGUAGUGAGUGCAUACUGCUAAUUUAUUCAUUCAUCUUCAUAUGCAUAUCAGUGGAAGCGGCAAGCCAAUCGUACGUAACCUGUAAUUGUAGAAUCAAAUAUUAACAACACUACAAGGGAUUAAUACAUACCAAUUAUAUACUUCAGCAAAGUUGCAAUUAAUAACUCACAAAUUGUGGUUAUUAAAAACUAAUACCAAUUAUGCACAAGUUUAAAGAAAAGACGAGGUACCCACACAGAGUGUGCCUUUUCCAACACUGAAAGUUGCAGUCUUAUUCUCUAUCGAAGUUUGUAAAUGACUUCGAAUUCAAUUUUAGGGUUAGUUGACAUCCAAGAAUCCUUCUUUCUUUUCAAGAGAAGAAGAAAAGACAACAGACGCUAUCGGUUACAACUGGAAAAAUCAUCAGCCGCUGUCAUUUUUACGACCUGCUUUACUGCAGUUGCCCUCUGGGACAGAAAUAUAAAUCCCUUGACAGUGGACAUUAUCACUUUCUCCAUGUCCUUUUCUCCAAGCGCAUCAGAAUCCAGUGCUGGAAUGUCGGUUUCAGAAUUUACAGUUUCCAGUGUUCACCCUAAAAUUUUGAGAUAAUUUAACGUAAGACAGUUUCUUCUAUUCUAUCGAGCAAAUCAGUCCCAACAGUGACACUUCUCAGAUUACUUGAGCUAAUACUCAGUUUUAUUAACAUAUGCCAUCAUGCUUAUUUUCUGUCGGGUACUUUCAAAAAUCACAUCCGUCCAAAACCAUCGCCCUCCGAUUCUUGUCAAUGCCAACAAACAACUCUUUAAUUACUAUAAUAAGUGGGCAGACAACACAGAUUUUUCAGCCCAGGAGCAACACUGUUCACAAUCUUCAAUAUCAUAGUCAUACCGCUGUCACGGAACCCACCCACAAAACACACAAAGGGAGCGGUCCUCCUCUUCUCAAAAAAUUAAAAAAAAGGAAAUAAAAUCAUGCAGCCAUUCGACCAUAGAUAUGCUCAAUUUGUGGACUCGUCUGGCCUGCUUGGGGCGUUUGAUCGGCCCAGCAGACAAGACGCCACCAAUAAGGACACAGUUGUAAUGGGAAAAUUCGCUCUGGCAGACUGGUCCCAACUCCCAACUUGUAGUACCAUCCAUGAAACAGCAAGAUGAACAUGAACAUACCUUUUUAAGGAAAAAUCCGUGUUUCACAAAAUUGUUUUUGUUUUUUUACCUGAUCAAUUCUCAACUAAUUUGGCAUUAAGAAAGGCUCAGCUUUCAAAAUCUCUUAAUUUAACAAAAUGAGUUUUCUUCCUCCUCCUACAACAGUGAGGCAAUAAGUCGUUCUCAAGUUUAAUUCCAAAAGAACAUUCCACCUUCUGGGGCUCCUUCACUAUCAAAGAUGCCUAAGCUGUGUUACAAGAACUAUGGCCUUGUCAAAACUCUCCUGAAGGGCAAGUGACCUCAGCAAGGUUUAUCUACUUCUUCUUCUUUAAUUUGCUGGAUUGAGACUGACUAUAAGCAGUUCCCUGUGAGAAAAAGCGUGGGCAAUUUAAUGAAGAUAUUUCAUAAAUUACUCCUCGAAAAGGUAUCUAGAAGGUAAAAAAAUAUUCCUCAGUUAAAAACUUUGGAUGGCCACAGUGCACAAACUACAAACCUCCAGCCACUCAUCCAUAGAGGCAUCAGUUGUACCAGUUCCAACCUCCACCUUUGGCGCCCUCUUGCUUUUCUGAUAAAGAGAAAUAAAUAGGGGAGUGAAAACAAGUAAAGGGAAAGGAGGGCAGGCAAAUGCAGAUAACACUUAACGACCUAUGAUCAAUUGAAAUUAACCCUUUCAGAAAAGUCUAACAGAUGAGCUAUUGUCUUAUUAACUUCUACUUUUCCUGUCAUAUGGAACAAUUGGAAGGGGAUAAAACAUUAAAUGCAAAGUAAUCACAACUCUUCUUAUGACAUUGUCAUAUGCUCUUCCCUCUCUUGGUUAGACAAUAAGAAAUUUGACUAUAGGUUUUCCUGACACAUUCUGUAGAUUGCAGCUAUGUGAUGCUAGUUUCACGUGCUAUACCAGACAAGAAGCGUGCUAUACCAGACAAGAAGCAGGUCAAUGUCUAUAGAAAUGUCAAUGAAUCAGACAAUGCAUUAGAUAUCCUUUUUUUUCUCUCGAAAACAAAACAAUGCUCUACUUCCUAGUAAUGGGAACAAAUAUUACUUUUAGAUCCCAAGAAAGAAGAGAAUACAGGAAAGUAUCAAUAAAUGAAGUUGACUAGAACCAUUCCUUCUCAAUCUAAAGAGUUACUAAUAUUAGGCAUCUGAUUAUUGAGAUGCAUUCAAUAACAAGAAGCCCCAAUCCAAGGCAGUAACUUAAAACAUUAAUCAUCUCCCCAAGAUAUCCAGUGCAAACACAGCCACUAACAGAUUUUAUAAGAAAUGCCAAGAUACUUUCUGUUCAGCUUCUAAGAAUUAUCUUACAUUUUAAAUCAUCCAGAUUACCACAACCUUUGGCUACUGUUGUAUCUGAAAGGAAAAAGGUCAACUCACCUUUGACCAAUGUUGUAUCUGAUUCCGUAUCCAAAAUACUGCAAAGCCAACAAAAGCAAUUGCAAGAGAAACUAAGAAAACAGAUUCCACGCUCAGAGGACCACCAGCCUCAGUUACUUCAAUAGUACCAUUGUAGAAGGUACUUUGAUAGGGAUGUUGAUCUAUUUCAUAGACAAUUGUGCCCACAAGAUCAAAUGCUCCAGCCUGCAAAAUAGAAAAGUAUAAUAAGUAAAGCAGCCUUUGCAAUGAAUUUUAUCGAUUUAAGUAGUAAAGUAAAUGGAAGAUGUUAUGAAAACAAAUCAAGAAAACUAUAUUAGCUGCAAGUAAUUAACCUAACCUGCAAAAAUUUGCUGACAGCGAAUAUGUAUGGGAAUGUGGCUUGAGCAGCAGGAGGGACAGAGGCAUUGGUAAAAGCCUAGAGAGACAACAAAAUUAUGUUGUUACAUCCUCAGUCAGAAAACUUGGUAACUAACAUGUGAAGUCCAAGAAACAGUUGAAAUUCUAAUUCCAAAAGAUUUAAGGACUUUGAAAGAUAAAGUAGCAUUUACUCAUCUAGAGCACUGAGAGCUCAUAAAUAUUAUAAACACAAAGUUCUGCAGUCAAACCUAAUUCAGAGUAAAAUCCUUAAUCAUUGCAACAGCAAUCACCUCAAUUUUCAAGGUUAUGAGGGAAACAAACACAUUAAAAGUAUUGUUAUGGCAGGUAUUUUCAAAUUCAAUGCACACCAAGCUGUGCUUCAUCUCACAUCAAUAGCCGGCAAAUGAAUUGUUAAAAAGUUAAAAAAGCAACUACUACGCCUCUUGAAAAAUUACAAAACUUGGCCCCCUAAUAAUGAGAUCCACCCUUCCAUGAUUGCAGACUCCAAGAAAAUAAUUAUAUUGAUACAAGACUUUAAGGCAUGACAAGGCACAAGAAACCAUAAAUUAUCAAAAAACACCAUAUAUGAUAUUCAUAUCACUACAAGAAAGCAGGAUUCAUGAUUGAGCCCUCUAGAUUGCACACAAAACUUGUGACAGAAUUUACUUGAAUAUAACACAAAUUGCAAAUAUUUUGAGAUAAUGAACUAGAUUGCACACAAAGCUUGUGACAAGAUUACUUUAAGAUUCCACAAACUGUGAAGAAACAACAGUACCAUUUGUUCUCCCCUGCAGUGACUCCUAAAAUCAUCUCUAAGACAGAAUCACAACGUGAUAGCAAUUUCCAUAGAAACAACGGGUAACAUUGUUAUGUUAACUCAUACAACUCUGAGCUCCGUGCUUUAAUCCAUAACAUAGCCAACACAUGUCUCUAUAUGUGCAAAACAACCUAACCCAGGUCACAGUGUAAAAAAAUUUUGCCUCCUACAAAUGUUAUAGUCCCAACACAAAAAGCUGGAUAAGCUCGAUAAUUGUUUUCCAGUCCUCUUUGUAUCACAAAGCACAACUAGAUUUUCAUCAAGUAGUCUAGUCAAUUUGAACAAACCACACAGUAAGAAUUCAAACCGCAGAGCUUUACAAAGUGACAGCAAACUCAGUGUGGUAGAAGGCUGUUAAUUUUAUUUAUCAAUACAGAUAGCAAUUAUCCAGUCAGGGAAUCAACUGAAUCAAGCAGCAAGCAUACACCACUUACCUGACUAGAGAUAUUCUGAAUCAGAUACUUAUGAUCAUAUGGAAGAUGAACACUAGCAUGGAUUGCAAUGAUAUUCAGACUUGAUUCUCCUGUUUCAAUCAUUAUUAUCAGAGAAAGACCCACAGAAUAACAACAGAUACAUAUAACUAAAGAACUGUACUACAAGAGACAUAUAAGAACUUAGAUGAUCCAAAAAAAACCAUUUCAAUCAAAAGAGGUUGCAAAACUGAAACACAAUAACAAAAUCAUCCACCAAGCUUGAUACUUUUAAAAGAAACGGUGUACUACCAAAUAGCAAGCUUACCAUCAUUCUUAACACCAACUAAAAGUUCACCUUCUUCACCAGCAGUAACCACUGAAAAGGGGCAAACAGCAUAUCAAAGUUCCAUUUUGGAGGAAAGAGAAUGCACAUUGUAAUACAACAAAGAGGUGAGAUUACAUGCACUCAUAAUUACAAAUCAAAAAGGAGUUGUUACUUACAUUUAGAAGGAUUUUUCGGGAAAACACAGAUAGUCUCCACCCCAGGAGCUGGACCAAAACUCCCACCACCAAUAUCUUGGACAUCAUCACCGACGAUACCAAGAUCACUCACUUCCUCAGAACCUUCAACUAUUUCAGCAUCUGCAUCCGGUUCACCCCUAACAACUAUCAAGUGAAAAAACAGCUAAUGAACCUCAGUCGCAACUUGUUACAGAUACAAAUUCAAUGAAAACUCACUUAAAUUGUAUGCAUGGUAAUUCCCUAUAUCAUUGCUAGCAAAAUAAGUACAGAGAAUCCAUAGCAAUAAGCUUGGCAGAGCUAAGCAGAAGCAGAAUCAAAUAAAUCAAUUUUCCCGGAAAUUCUCUCCAGGGACCAGGCAGAGUUAUUAACGAAACAGUCGAGCAGCAUCCUCAUCAGUAAUAGAAAAGUUUCUGCCUAUUUGAAAUUGACAAUUGCCCCUUUCAACUGUACACCACAGUAAAGGAGCAACAGAUUUCGUAUCAAUUAAACGGAAUAACUACAACGAUCGCCACUUGAAUGAAAUAUAGCCUCUGCCUAAAAGACUACAUAGCAUAUUGUUUAAAAAGAGAGAAGCAAUUCAUUCAGGCAGCGUUUAACCUCAAAUCAACACAGGCGUUGACCGAGCAACAUAUGAAAGAGACCUAAAUCACAUGCAUGACAAGGGAAACUUAUGCAGUAGUAACUAUCAUUCUAUACAUGAACGAAUUGCGUGGUAGAAUUUGAAUCCGAAUUCGGAUCGAAUGUGAGUUGGACGGAUGAAAAGCCCAGAUAAUGUAUAGCAAUUAAAAAAUCCAAGCAUCGAACUCAUUAUUCCGCAUGCAGAGGUAUCGAUACAAGUCAAAUUAAGCAUUAGAAAAUUGAACUUUCCGAGCUACACUUGUCAAGUACAAAUCAUUCGUACAUAUAAUCGAAAAUGAAUCCAGAUCUACGAUCGUAAGCAAACCUUGGAGGAAAGAGGAGGAAAAUACGAGCAGCGCGAGGACGAAGAAAACCCUAAUCGACAUUCUCGCCUCGGUAAAUGAAGAGGGGAGAGAGAGAGAGAGAGCACAAAGGGUACAGAUAGACUUCCAGAAAAAUGCACGAAGGGGGGGAAUGACUGGGUUUCGGUUCGGGUUGGGGUCUGGGCUCUGUUUUUGGGUGAAAACUGGAGCGGAGAUGAGGAAUUGGGGAGUUUUGGGAAACUGGGAGCUCUCUCUAACUCGAGGCCGGAGACAGAAAACCAACAACCAAAAGACGUCAAUGCUGAGGCAACUUUGCCCCCUUUCCCUUGCACCUUUUUUAUGCCCUCUUUUUUUUUUUCUCUUUUUUCUUUUUUCUCUCUCUAAUCGCUUAUUAGUUUUUUUUAUCACUCUCCAUUUAAUGAUUGAUGUUAUUGCAGGAGUUUUAGUUAUUGUGUUUGGAUCCCUAGAGAGUUUGGGAGAGUGGAGUUGAAGUAGGCUUGGAAUUUGGGAACCAGGCUUUGUCUAAUAUUAUAUAUAUAUAUAAUGUUUAGAUUCAGGAAUUAGAGUUGCUAUUCUCAAAUUCUAUUCUAUUUAAUUUUGUUUUUAAAUUAGCACCAUUAUUCUUGAUAAUUUUUAUAAUUACUAUUAAGUUGCUAAUUUAUUUGGAUUGCUUCUUUCUCCUUUUUUACCAUCUUAUUUUAGAAAAAAAAAUUAUCAAUUCCAUGAGAGGAUUAUUAGCACAUUUUUAGUCCUUACUUGUGGGAUUGAAGUUCAACACGUGGGUUUGUUUGGAUAGAGGAUUAUUUGUCAAAAUUUAUUUGCUUACAUCAUCGUUACAAUUUCCAACACAUCUUUUUAUCUUUUUAAUUAUUUUUUUAUUUCACAUACAUCACAUCAUAAAAAUUAAUAUAGUAAAAAUAUCUCAAAUAAUUUUAUCUCCAGCUUCGAAACAAAAACGUGGUGUGUUUGUGAUAUUUCAUUGCCAGCAAACCUUUUGAUAUCAUUUCAAGCUGGGUCUUGUAUUUCUUUAGCUAUCCACCUAUGAAAUUCAUUAUAUACAAAAAAAAAAAAAAGGAAGGAAAAUAACAUUAUAUUAUUAUAUACUAGCGGUAGUCCACUAGAUUGGGAGAUGAGAUUUGAGUAGAGAAAAAAAUAAAAAGGAAGAGAAAGUAAUAAGUCUUCCCAAUUGAUUUUGGAGGAUGCGCCGGGGGUAAAAAAAUUUCCAUCCAAAAUUGAACAGAAAAGGAAGGAAAUUUAUAGUAAAAAAGUUUUCCAUCCAAAAUUGAACAUAAAAAAGUUUUUUUUUUUUUUAAAACUAUCCAAUCUAUCCUUAAAAAAGCUAUUGAAUAAAAAUUUAUUAACUAAUAUAUUCAAGAUUAUUUCAUUUAUUUAUUUCAUAAACUCUCAAACGUUAAAACCCCUUUUCUUAUCCAUCACUUUCUCUCAUAGGCUUUCUUUUAUUUCCUUUUCUAUCCUCAACUCCCAAACUAGCUGUUGGGCUCUUAGGCCUUAGCUAGCGGAGGAGGAGAAGCAAAGAAGUCUUCGUCUCCAUUGCAAUUUGCGAGGUCAGGGCCUAGUUACAGGGUAAAAAAAUGGAUCAAUUUAAUCAUCAGGAAACUGUUUAUCAUCAUCAACAAGUUCAGCCCCCAAAUCCCCCGCUUCCCGAGUUUGGACAGCCUCCGCCUGAUAUGCACUUGUCUUCUAAUCGCCCCAAUCUUGACUCCAGGUUUUGCCCCCGUCCCUUUCUCCUGCAAUUCCAGAUUCUCAACUUUUGCAUGCAAGUUGUAUUUAUGAGAUUGGGUUUUGCUUCCCUGGUGGUUUUUUGCUUUCCAGGUUUAGCUGGGAUUGUUUGUCCUGAUUUAUUUGAUCCUGACGCCUUAACUUGUGAACUGUGUGCUAGGGUUUAAGUUAAAAUGGGGGGUGUUAAUUGGUUAGGAAAAGCAUGUGGAACAAGUUCAAAAUUUUGAUGCUAUAUGAUGCUGCCCUAUUAAAGUGGGCAAAUGGGUGUAUCUUGGGUAAAUUUAUUCUGAGAGGUUAUGUUACAAGCUACCCAUAAAUUUAACUAGUUUUUAGAAAGAGAAAUCAUUAGCUGGAAUUAUCAGGGAGUGUAUGAUUGUGGUUGCUUUUCAAGGAAAAGAGGGUACAAGUUUUUAGGUUUAAAAUUGUGUAGAAACCUUUACUGUGAAUGAGGAUUUCUGUUAUUGAGUAUACAAAGCUUCUCUGACUGGUAAAUGCAGUGUAAUUUGUAGGAUGGAAAUGCUUAAUAUUGGAAAGUGAUCCAGUGUGUAUAUUUGUUAUCUGAAUGUAAAGAAAGCAGAUGAUUGAAAAUCUGAUGAGUUAAAUGAAGUUCUGGUUAAGUUUUACUGCAUUGCUUACUAGCGUGUGGAAGUUGAAGUGGUAGAUGCAACAAGAUAAUUGCUUUUGACUUUCGUUGAAGAAUUAUCUGAAAAGGAAUACACAAAAUCGUGUCAGGCAUUUACUGAGGUUAAAGGAAGCGAAUGCUGAAAACUGUUGAAACUCAAUUAGCUGUUGUCAAGUAAUAACACUCACGUCUACCCCAUUGACAACCAAAAAUGAGAAACACUAAAAUUACAUGUUUAUCAUAUAAAUUUGUGCAUCCUUGGCUGAUAUAGUAUUUGACAUUCAAUACCUCAACAGCUUAUGUUCGAGUUGUGGGAAAACCUUAUUACCACCCUUGAGACACUUCAAAUAAGUGAAUAACCUCUUAUUUGCACACGACUGGUAGUCCACGUUAGAAAUAAGGAUUAAGCUUAAAACAGCAGGAUUAUUUGUGUGGUGAUGAUUGCUUGUCCUAUGGAGCUCACAAACUAUAUGGAAAUUGUAGCUGAGGUCAAAGGAUCUACUCCUUUCCAUUUUCCCUUUGAUAAAUCCUGAGCAUUACUUUUGCAGACAACUUCACCACUUCUGGACUCAUAAACAAGGAAGGUUCUUGUAAUACUAGAAAUAUGAAGCUUCUCUAAUUUAUGGUGUCAGCGUGCCUGUAUAGCACUUUUUUGUGUGGCGUAGCCAAAUGUCGGAGCAAAAAAAAAAUUACAAAUAGGGCCACACAUCAAUUUUCUUGUCUUAUAGAGGCACAAUCAUUUUCCUUCUCUUGUCAUGCUUGCACAAGUAAUAAUCUGUUUCUUGGGUAUAGUAUUUUCUUACAUGGCAAUAAAUAUGCUGCUUUACAAUGGUCAACAUAUUUUUCCGCCAUCAUCCUCUUGUAUUAGGUGCAGUAGAAUUCAUGAUUUCAUUGAAAUUUUGCUGAUUUAUUCUGUAAAUGCCAUGGAUCAAUGUAGCUUAGUUUGAGAAUAGAGCACUUUUUCUUUGAGUCUCGAGUGUGUUGUUGAGGAUGGAUGGUGAUUGUUAAAUACAAGUCAAUUUAUCAGUCUUUCAAAAUCGAAUCUCUGCCAGACUUACAUAGAGAGAGAGAUUUAUUUCCUGCCUUGUGAAACAUAGGUCUUUUGUGUAUUUUAGUUCUCUGCUAAAUGUACUGUGUUUACCCAUUCAUAAGAUGAAUAUCUAGCAUCCAGUUGGCAUAGUAUCGAUUCGCAAAAAUGGUAUAACAGGUCAUAUAGCUUGGGUCUUUGAUAGAUGAAACUUGAUAACCCUUUAUACACAAGAGUAUAUAUCUCUGCUGGAUAAAAUUGUUUUUGAAACAUUAAAUUUUUCAUAUAUAUUUUACUGGCCCUUCUCUCUCACCUCCCCCCUCUCUCUCUCUAUCUCUCUGUCUUUUUAUGUCCUUAUUCUCCUUAUUGCCUGGGUCGUCACUUGAAGGCCAGAAGCAGUGCCAAAGGACUCCAUUGCCACAAGGAAAGUUCAAAAAGCUGACCGUGAGAAGCUACGGAGGGAUCGCUUAAAUGAGCAGUUUGCUGAGUUGGGAAAUACCCUUGGUAAGCCCAAAAGUUUUGAAUUAGCUUGGUAACGUGGCAACUAAUGCAUUCUGCUUUCUAUGAAAUCCGUUGAACAUCUUAUCCUGGAACUCAUUAUAAUGAAAAUAGUAUCCCAGAAAUGUAUAUUGUGAGUGGGUUCAUAUCUCUUCUUCUGUACCUUGCUUUACUCGCAGAAUCUUAUGCAAUUUUCUCAUUACUUGAAUUUCUUUUUCUUUGACUUAUAAAGAGUUUGCCCCAUUUGUAAGGAAUUGUUUAACCAAAUCCUUCUGAAGAUUCACCACUUUAGUGGAUUUUUUCUCUGGUCAAAUCUCAUUCGUGACAUGGUCUAAAAUUAUCACAUCUGGAGGCACAUUGCCACCGGAUAUUCUCAUAGCAAUCCCCAGUGGACUUCUUUUUUUUUUUUUAAAUUUAGUAUGCUAGUUACUGUUAAACAUUAAGCAUUAAAUGACUGCUUGACUUCAUAGCAGAAGUGGGGACCAGUUGUGGGACAUUCAUGUCAUGGAUCUUUUAACGCUUGUUCCCUCUCCUCAUUACCUUAAUACUGGAAAACGAUUUGCACUCUACUAUAGUUGAUGUCUCAUGUGCUUUCUGUUUAGUUUUGUAGAGCAACUAGACAACUGUAUGACGAUGUUUAAUCCUGCACCCCUAUAAACCCUCCUUGAAUAGACAAAAUCGUAAUUUCUGGUAUUACUUGAAACAACCAAGAGAUUUUAUAUAUUCAAUUUUCAGCCGGUAUGAUCAUGAAAGUAGCUUGUUGUUAUGUAGUGUUGUCACUGGUGUUUCCCAAACAUCUGUAACUUGGGCUGAUUAUGAAGUUUGAUUUCAACCGCAAAACUUUGUCAAGAAACUUAUUAGUUCUGUACAUAUGGUUGAACCUAUAUCCCUUUUUUGUUUGGUUCAAGUAACUUAUUUACCUGUAGUAAGUUUCAUGUGAUUUUUUUCUCAUUAGAUGUGUUUAACGAGUUUGCAGAUCCUGAUAGGCCAAAAAAUGACAAAGCAUCUAUCCUCACUGAUGCUAUCCAAAUGGUGAAGGAAUUGACUGCUCAGAUUGACAAAUUAAAAGCUGAACAUGCUGCACUUAACGAAGAAUCUCGUGAGGUGAUUGUUCUAGCUACUCAUCCCCUUUUUUCCCCUUUCUUUUCUUCUCCUCACGGCCCGGUGAGGACUGUUUUACUGAAUACUUCCAUUUCCAAGCAGUUGACUCAGGAGAAAAAUGAUCUUCGAGAAGAGAAGGCAUCUCUUAAGUCAGAUAUUGAGAGCCUUAAUGCACAACAUCAGCAGAGAGUGAGAGCUAUGUAUCCGUGGGCAGGCAUGGAUCAUUCUGUUGUUAUGCACCCAGCUUCUUAUCCUUUUCCAUUGCCCAUGCCGAUACCUGCUGGUCCAAUUCCCAUGCAUCCAUCUUUGCAGCCAUUCCCACUAUAUGGGAAUCAGAAUGCUGCGGUUGUUCCAAGUCCUGUGUCAACUUUUGUUCCAUAUAUGGCUCCUAAUAGCAUUAUUGAACAGCAAUCAACACAACAUGUUUCUCAAGUAACACAGCCUGGUAGCAGAUCCCAUACUUCAAGCAGGCAAGAUUCUAGACCCAAAGCAUGCAAUCAGAAGGAUAGCAGAAGUGAAAAAAGCGAGACUUCAGAUGAUGUUGCAACUGACCUUGAGCUCAAGACCCCUGGGUCUACAGUAGAACAGGUUAAAAUACAGGGUUUAUUCUACUCUGUCAAGAAGGUCUUUUAGGUAAAAUAAUGAAGAGAAUUUGACAUGGCUGAACAACCUUGUGCAGGAUGUUUCACCUGGACAAAGAAAAGCCAAAAGAUCAUCUAGGAAGGAGAGUAACAUUACGGAAGGAAGUUCUUCAAGCAGGUGUUCAUCAUCUCACAGUGUACAGGCUGCUUCGUCAAGUAGUGUAGUUGGUGGCACAAAAACAGAUGAGUGAAGGAGGAAACCUGAACCUGGUUAUUUCAAAUUCAUUCUCCUCUCUUAAUCACUCUGAGUUAACCUUUGUCAACUGCUGGUGGCAUUCUUCUACUCUGGUGUGCAGCAGCUGCGGCGGACUUCAGCUGGAUACCAGAGGACGAGUCCAAGUGUAAAUAUGGUGUAGUUCCUCUCCAUAAGUAGGUUAGUGCUUCCACAGGACGUGGAUUAUAAUGGAGCCAGCAUCUGGAAAAGUAAUUUCAGAGGUGAUCUAUGUAAGCUUUGCUUUAUAUUUUUUGACCUGUUAUCACGCAUUCCUUCUUUCUUGUUGUACAGCUUUGUGUAAAUUUUAUGUUUUAAGGAUUAGAUAAAGAUUUUACUGACUUCAAGGCUGAUCAAGUUUCGGUGAAUGGACUUGUUGAUGAAUGAAUGGGGGCACCACACUGAAGUUAGCCGAGUAGAAGUCAGGAGAAUACAAAUGCAGUGAAGUUAGCCGAGUAGGAAGUCAGUCAGUGAUGAAAGUUAUGCGACUCUUCACUGCUCCUAUGUGAAUGUGGCACGACCAAAUUUUCACUUCAGAGUCGUUACCAUUGGCCAUGCCCACUACAUUUCUAGCGCUCCAGUUCUUUUUCUGCUUUUGAAGGGAGAAUGGAGUGCUAUUUGACCCCUUUUCGUCUUUUUUUUAAGGAGUGCUGGCAAAGAACGUGCUGCAGCGUAAUGGUCAUUUGGAUUUGUUACGGUACAACUGACACCAUAGGAUGUGCCGACGUCAUAGUGAGUGGUAUUUGCUAUUCGGUGAGCCAUUCUGAUGGGGGAAAAAUAUAAAUAAAUAUGGUGUAGUUUUCAUUGUUGGUUGGUGUGGGUGAGAAAGUAAGGCAGGACAUAAAUAGGAGAUACAAACGUAGCCGCGCGUGCAAUUCCUUCCUUUCCUUUUUUUUUUUUUCCAUCUUUUAAUGGAGGAGAUAUAGAUACAAAAAAUGGCUGCUACGGACAAAUUUUCAUCUUUCAACGGACGGGUAUGUUUGGACGAGAAAUUAUUUGAAAUGAUUAUUAUAGUAAUUUUUUGUAAUGUGAUGUAUGUAAAAUAAAAAUUUUAUUAAAAAUAUAAAAAAUUGAUUAAAAAUCAUAAUUGUGAUGUAAGUAAAAUAAUAUUUAGAACAAAUGUUGCUAUCCAAGCUUGCUCAAUUAAAUAUUUUGUUUGUAUAAAAAACACAAUUUCUAAUUAAUUUUUUAACUUUCUGUUAUCAUUUGAAAAAAAAAAUUAUCUUUGCAUCUUUUUAAUCAGUUUAUUUGCAUACAUCCCAUUCCAAAAAAAAUGAUAUAAUAAUUAUUUGAAAUAAUUUUCUAUCCAAACAUAGAUAUUAACCAUAGGUUACCAUUAAAGAAACCAUUUGGAAUUCAUAGAAUUUAAGUCAUAAAUUGCAAAAUUUAUAUUAAAAAAUACAUAUGAAUUGCAAAUGAAUUACUCCCUCCGUCCUACUUUUAUAGUCUUGUUUUCCUUUUUCAUCCGUCCCAAAUUGUAGUCCACUUCCCCAUUAAGGAAUGUAGUAAUCUUUCAAAUUGUCUAAAAUACCCUUAUUAAAUAUCUUGUUAUUAAUACAUUGUUAUUAAAUACUAACUCACUACAUUGAAUACAUUGAGGUUUUCCAAUGCACUCUUCGUGAUUAGCAUAAGGGUAUUUUAGGAAAUUAUUAAUCUAAAUUUAUGUUUCCAACCAAAUUAAUUACAUUUUCUUAAUCUGUGUGAAAAAAAAACCAAGACUAAUAAAACGGGACGGAGGGAGUAUAAGCAAUGGUAAUUGGACUUAAAUCCACUGACUGUAAAUUUCAAGGCUUGAAAAAAAAAAGGAAUUUUUUGAAAAAGCCCAAGGCAUUAUCUUGACUCUUGAGGUUAGGUGGACCAUUGAUUGUGUAAUGCACGCGGCGACAGCAAGCGUGGGAUGAGAGAGAAGCAGCCAACAACUCCGUACCAGUAAAAUACAUCGCCACAUGUCGAGGGACUGACUGAGAGGAGGCUUUCUCCCAAUCUUAAAAAAUUAUCUGCUCUGUUCUCUCUGCUCACUUCUGCUUGACGACGAGUAAAACUUUUAGUUGGCCAAGGCGUAGUAACAGAGAGUAACAACAAUAAUGGCUGUGGCUUCCACAUCUCUGGCUUGCCCCCAAUUCUCCGGCCUCCGCCGUUCUUCUUGUCCCAAGCUCGAUUCGCCACCUCUUUCCAUUUCCACUGCUCAAUCUUUCUUCCAAAAUUUGGACUCUCAUCUCCGCCUUUCUUCUUCUUCCCCCCGCAAUAAAGCUUGCCGGCCUGUCGUUGCAAUGGCCGGCUCCGGAAAGGUUAUUUCUUUUUCAUCCUUUUUAUUCUAGUCUUUUAUUAUUAUUGUUAUUAUUUUUUUUUGUAAACUUGACUUCUGUGACUGACUGUUGUUACUGUUGCCAGCCUAUAAAUAUUGGGUUCCAUGAGAUGACAGAUUUAUUCCUUUGAAAUUCAUUGGGGUAGUUCUGGACUCUUAAUUAUAGUUUAAGGAUUUAUGCUAAUUUAUUAUGAAAAUGUAAUGAGGCAUUGGAUUUAAUGACUCUAGUCAUUGGGUGGUUGAACAGUGAUGAAGUAAACUGGACUUCAAUUUGAUACCUUUAUUUCUUGUCCCCUCCCUCAAAACCAAACUAAAAAAAAAAAGAGGAAAAAGAAAAGGCUCCGGAUGGUAAGAAUUAGACCUUGUACUACUUUAUUCGUAAGUCUUCAAUGAAAUGCGAAUCUCUAAAAGCUCAAAUUGUUCGACAAGAUCAUGAUGCUUACCGCACAGUGAUACAUUAUGACAUUUCUUUCAUAAGUUUAUUGGCAUACUGAGAAAUGAGAAUGGUGUCAUUGGUUACUCCACUUUCUUCUUUUAGCCAAGCCGAAGCAAUCCACGCCUCUACGCCAUCUCUCUCUCUCCCACCUUUUUGCUAGAGUAUGUUAGUCAUGAUGAUUCAGUUUGGUUUUGGAUGAUGCUUCUUGGCUGUUCUUGAAUGUCAUUGUGCUCUGAAUCUGGGAGAUUUUCUUUUUUGUUUUUCCGGUCCUGGUUAAUUCUGAUGGUUCAUUUUCCGAAUAUUAUGCUUUUCCUUAAUGUACUUCAGUUUGUAAAACUUAUUUCAUUAUUUCACUCUUUCUGGUUCUACUUGAUCACUUGCUUUCUGAGAAACUAUUCAUCUUCUGAUGAUCAGUGUGACAUGAGAAUAUAUGAGCUUUAAAGAGUGUAUUAACCAGAGUCUUUUGGUUCUUCUUGCAGUUCUUUGUUGGUGGAAACUGGAAGUGUGUAAGUGUCCUUUUCUUUUUCUUCUUUGAGUUCUUAUUUUCAUAAGAUCAUUCAUCAUACAGGUACUUAUACUUGAACUGUGUAUUUAUUUCCUCUUUGCUCAGUUGACUCUUUAAAUGUCCAGUGUUCAUAAUUAAGAACUUUAACAAUUUUAGCAAAGUAGGUCCGGCUCCUGACCAAAAGGUGAUGGGGGUUCUUGGACUUCUAAAGGUGCCAAUAAAAUAAUAAUUAUACCACUAGAAGGCAACACUUGUAAAUUAUAAAUUACAGGGACUGAGAAUCCAAGGUACUAAAUGGACAGUAAUGACUAUUUGAUGUAACAAGAAAAAACUAAUAAGUCACGGUUAUUAAUUUCAGUAGUUUAGCUUAUCUUUCACUGCACUUGCUUAUGUCUUGCCUGUUAUCUUUCUCAGCAAAAUAGCUGUAUUUAAUGCUUGAUUAACCAUCCAAAAAUAGUCCCAGGAUACUGAUAUUCGUAAGUUUAUGCUCAUUGCUAACUAGCCUGUGGUAUUCAUGCUUUUAUUGUUAGUUUUUUCACUCACAAGGUGGGGAUGGGGGCAAGCUUGUUCUUAUGCUUUUUCGCAGCGUGAAAUGCUCACUGCUGGUGUAGUUUGAUAUAUAUGAUCUAGAAUAUGGGUUUUGUGCUCUAUGAAAAUGUGAUUUCUUUUGUCUAAUUAAGUAAGUAGCAUAUUUUUGGCACAUAAUGACAUUAUAAGACAACAUAUUUGCUGAAUAUGUUGAUCUCCUUUUACCCCUCUUUCUCCAUUUCUGAUAGUUCUGGAUAACUUUGACUAGAUAGAGCACACUAUUUAGCAAAGGAUUGAGUUUUUUCAUGCUUUAGCUUUGUUCUUUAUUGACUUCUUAUUGCAUGUUUUGCUCAGAAUGGAACAAAGGAGUCCAUCGGCAAGCUUAUCUCUGAUUUAAAUAGUGCAAUGCUGGAGUCUGAUGUUGGUGAGUUGUCCACAAUAUGCUUUCAAUAUAGCAAUAGCAAGUCACUUUGUCCCGAGUGCAGGAGAGUGCCUCAAUGUGCCCCAUACCGAUGUGAAUUGAAUGAAUGGACACCACACAAGUUCGUGCCUUUCCCUUAUCACACAGCGAUAGUCAUUCUUCUUCCUUCGGGCUCCCUUGGAUUGGUCUUUUUUUAGCGAAUAGGGAACCCCUUGGUGGGAGAUUACUGUUCUUUGUCAAAUAACCCCAAAGUAGUCUUUUAUACUAGUUAUGUCAUUGAGGUUGGAAUGAAAUUGUUGUAAUUGGUAAAAGUUUUUAGUUGUGACAUGUCUACAGAUUUCUAGCAAGCAUCUUCUAGGGAUAAUCCAGUCUCAGUUACAUUUUCUUCCCCGAGUAAGAUGUACCUUAGCUUAGUGGUUAGCCGUAUAUGUUGAUGCUAUGACUAGCAAACCUUGAAUAUAAUACUAUUUCCAUCUAUAAGUCUGUUUGAAAGCUUGUAGAAUUUAGAGCAGUGCCUUGCAUUAUUUUUACGCCUGGGUGGCUACGAUUUGGAGGCUAUACUUUUCUGUUUAAUUGCCAAUUGUGCAUCUUAUCUUGCCACAUUUGAGGCGCUAAACUACUUUGUCUUAGUUAUUUGCUAAUCUAAAUCGUAUUCAGCAGCUCUUCAGCUUUGAAUGCCACAUUACUAGAUUUAUUUUGGCUCUUUGAAAUCCAGAUGUUGUUGUGGCACCUCCAUUUAUAUACAUUGAUCAAGUAAAGAGCUCAUUAACCGAUCGCAUCGAAGUUUCUGCUCAAAAUUGUUGGAUAGGGAAAGGUGGAGCUUUUACUGGGGAAAUCAGGUGAGGUUAUAUGCGUAUUGUACUAUUUUUUCAUUAAACUUGUGGUAAAUCUGGUGAGAUUAGUUUAGUGGGACCAAAAUAUCAGUUGCCUGCAUUCUUGUGUUUCAGAAGUUGGAGAAUGAGUAUUAGGGAGAAGUGAGGCGAUUUGGAUAGGUGGGCAUGUUGUAGCUCACUUGUCUCUGAUUUUGUUACCUUGACUCCCAAUUAUACCAGCUUGCCACUUCACUGGUGAUUACGUAGGUCUUAUGCUUAGAGGUGAUUAGUUGGUUUGACUUUGACAUUACAAGGUUUGCAUGGCAAUGGGGAUUCGAAUCUGAUAAGUUCAAAUGCAUACAAGGGUGUUCAAUUUGGCAAAAUUUGUGAGUUUUAGAUGUUGUGAUGAAGUUGGGACUUGCUUAGUGGUUAGUAACUUUUGCUAGAUUGCAGAAUAUAGAAGAGAGAUACACGAUUAUGCAAGUAUAUGGAAGCAAGAAAAAUCAGGGAUAGCUCCAUCCCAUUCUAAAUAUGGCAGGUGUCUGUGAUUGUCCCCAUUUGCCAUUUAACCUCCACUGGUUUGAAAUGCAUUAGAGAGAGAGGGAGGGAUGGAAAGGGUGAGAGAGAGAGAGAGAGAGAACCUUACAGCAUUUUUUCAUUCUAGCUCAAAAUUCUUUCUUGCAGUGAAUGGAUUAUGCAGAAGUUUUAUCUUGAGUUAACUGUAUAUUAAUAGAUCUUUACAAGCUUUUAGGCCAACAUUCUUUAGACAGAGUUUGCUCUUUCAAUAGGACUACUUCCUUGGGUUUUCAAUUGCUGACUGGCUUAAUAGUCUGAGUUCAGCUUAUUGAUCAUUUUAAUUGUUGAUUGGUUUGUGGCUAUUUCAAUGCCUUAACAAAUGACUGAAAUAAUCUUAAUUUUCAUUUUUGUUUCAUAGUGGGGAACAAUUGAAAGAUAUUGGAUGCAAAUGGGUCAUUCUUGGGCAUUCUGAGCGAAGGCAUAUAAUUGGAGAAGAUGAUGAAGUAAGAGUCUUCCAGAUUUUACUACUUUUUAACCUGUUUUCUUCUCGCUAGUCGAUUUGCAGUUUGUGCUUUGAAAAUCUUUCUAAUUUACCAGUAAAUAAGUAGAGAAUUAUAAUAAAAAUGAAACAAGGAAUUCUUAAAACUGACGAACCCCUUAUCAUGCAGUUUAUAGGAAAGAAGGCUGCUUAUGCCUUGGGCCAAGGUCUUGGAGUGAUAGCCUGCAUUGGAGAGCUUUUGCAACAAAGGGAAGAAGGAAAAACUUUUGAUGUCUGUUAUAAGCAACUGAAGGCUUUGGCAGGCAAGCUGUUAACUCAUCUUCCAUAAACCUUUUCCUUUGCACCCCCUUCUUCUUCCCACCUCCCUCCUUCCCUCUAUCUCUCUCAUGAGUAAAUGUUUAAGUGGGAGAUGGACUAUCAAAAAAGAAAACAUGGUUAUCAAUUUUAAUGUCACAUAUAAAUCAUGAUAUUGCAGAUGCUGUACCAAGCUGGGAUGAUGUUGUUAUUGCCUAUGAGCCUGUAUGGGCUAUUGGAACUGGUAAAGUGGCCACACCUCAGCAAGCACAGGAAGUGCAUGUAGCUGUUCGCGAUUGGCUUAGUAAGAAUGUUUCAGCUGAAGUUGCUUCUAAAACAAGAAUUAUCUAUGGAGGUCUAAUCUCUCUCUCUCUCUAUCUCUCACUCCCCCCUCCCCGACAAAAAAAAAAAGAACCAAAAAGAAAAGUAGAAGCUAUUGUUCCUGUGCAGCUUGAUUAACUAUUGCUGUAUAUGAUCUCAAAGAAUGCUGUGGGUCAGGAAUUCAAUUGACCUUGUCGUCCUUGUCUUUGUUUCUGCUCCAGCGGACAUGAGCUUUCCAGAUGCUUCAGAAUAUUUUUGAUGGUUGAAUACUUUUUUUUUUUUAUAUUAUUAGACUACUGACUAUCUUUUUGCAGGUUCUGUUAAUGGAAGCAACUGUGCUGAUCUUGCAAAACAAGAAGAUAUUGAUGGAUUUCUUGUAGGUGGUGCUUCCUUAAAGGUACUAUUCUGCCUUUUAGAUAUUUAUACCUAGUUCUGUUGUCUACUGUUUAGGUUUUAUGUUUGUUUACUUGGUGUGGACUAGCAAAUGAAAACUUAACAUAUUUCAAAGUUUGGCCAAAAAGGGAUUGGGGUGAGCAAGGAGAAGAGGCUCUCUCGUGCCAGUGAUAGCAACAUGUUAUCUUGCCAUGACUGCAAGCUGUUUAUUUCAUGCAGAUAGUUCGGCAACUUCACAACUUUGAAUACUGUCACUUCUUAUCUUCAUUUGAGACAACAGUUCAUCUCAUUUUGUUAGUUCGCAGUACCUAGACUUGAUGGCAUGUUAGUCUUAUAUUUGGCAAUCGUUUGCUAUAUUCAAUCAGAUUCAGAAGGCUUUUAGACAUACAAUCCUAUGUUUAUUGUUUAGUAACCUUUACAUGUGUUGCCUUUGGUGUUAAUAAUUGAAUAUCCAUAGAGGCAUGUGGUAGUGAAUUUGUUGUUCUUAAUGACAGGGAUUAGUGAUCUCAUAAAAAUUGGCGCAUUUUGAUUAUUGAGGUUUUCUUCUCCAUUUUAAGAGAUGGUUUUUUAAGGAGCUUUAUUUUAGAAAGAGGAUGCUUUGAAUUUCUGAGUGUUGCUGGUGUUUUUGGCUCCUAAAAGUGGGCAUUGGGAGUUUAGCAGGGUGAGUGGUGUCUGUUGGGAAAGCAGAGAGAGAGAGAGAGAGUCACAUACCUGGAACAUAAAAUUGAUGUUUGAUUCAUUGGCUGCAGGGACCUGAGUUUGCUACAAUUGUUAAUUCUGUAACUUCCAAGAAGGUUGCUGCAUGAUCCUCUGAGGUAGCUUUUGGCAUCAAAAGGAUAGGCGGAUUGGAGUAUCUUCUGAGGUAUAAGUAUUGCGCAAACAGGAUCUUUUGGUCAGAUUUUGAUCCUGUUCAACUUCUUUGUCCCAUACAUUGAAUGAUGCACUUAAUUCGCUUCAACUAUAUAAAAUAAUAGAGAUUGUAUGCUAAAAUUUUAGCUUUUGGUGUAACAAAAUAAGUUUUGAGUUCAACAAUGUAUGAUCUUCCCGGAACAGAGUGAUUUUAUGUUAUGCAACAUAAAUUUUUCGCUCAGAUAUAAAUAAAACGCAGAGGAAUCAAGAGUUGGAUUUUGUUUGUUCUGUUCUCAUAUUUGAGGGGGCAAAAAAUAAAAUGGAAUGUCUUGUUGGUGAUGCUUACGGAACUUAAGUUGUGGACUGGUUUGAGCUUGAAAGCUUAUUAAGUUUGAAUCCCGAGCCUUUUUAUUUAUUUAUUUAUAAAUCUUCAUUUCCUCUUUUUGGUUAUCCCUUUUUUUUAAAAAAUAUUUUUCAAUCUGUCAUGGAGGAGGAGGUGGAAGAUGGGGGGGGAGAGCUCUACCAUUUAUUCUUGGUUGGCAGCAGCACCAAAAGUAUGAUGUGGCUCUCUAGAAGCUGCACACAAGAAUCGGGGUGGAGUUUUCUAAGUUUGCUGAGCAAAUACACUGAACUGAGAGAUGGCUACUUAAAAUAAGCAGUUUAAUUUUCCGCAGUGUUCUUUUGAAAGGAAUUCAAGUUUUUAUUUUGGUCAAAAUGAGCCAGAGUUUUGUUUGACAAGUGAAACUUAGUGCUAAAACAUUCAAAUUAUCGUUUCUUGACCUUUGCCAAGUGCUGGGGUUAGCCUGUGCACGUCUACGGAAAAGGGUAUGCGUACGUUUAUGUUGGCACCACGGCGGCAAGUGGACUAAGAGCAUCAGCAGCUUUGAGUGAGCAUUAGUUAAAGAACAGGAGAAUCCACACUCAAAAGCAUAUAUUAUUCCCAAGCAACUCUUCCUAGAAAGUAAAGCAUCCCAAAGGCCUUCAAUGUCUUCUACUAUAAAUCAUCCUUCCAAAAUGCUCGAAAGAUGGUAAGAAAACAGCAGAGGAGAGAGAUGGGUUGGUUUUAUUCCAGGAGGGGUCCGGAAUGGAAACAAGGAUGGAGAGGCCAGACGAUGGCCUCGCUCUCCUUGCCACCGCUUCCGCUACUGGCCAUAUUUGCCAUUGUCAUUUGCUUGUUAUCAUUGCCCCAAUCCACAAGCGCUGCAACCAUCGACUUGAAGUUGCUCCUCUUCUUAGUGCCCAUCCUUCUAAUCUUGUUAAUUCGUCCUAGCUUUUCUGGUGGCUGGUUCAACUUCGGGACUCCAAAGCCCGGGCCCGGUUCAUCAGCACAUCAAAGUGGCGGAUUCCCAUGGGGUGUUGCCUUGUUGGUGGUGAUCCUCGUGGUGUUGGUUUCUUAUCAAUCAUCAUUUCAAUCCAUGUGGUUUACCCCUCUGCGGAGCUCGGAUUAGUAAGCCGAAAGGCAGCAGUAACUUGCAAGCUAGGAGUUGUGUGCAUCUGUGUGUGUGUGUUUAGAAAUAAAUUGAAACAUUACUUAGAAUAGUAAAUUGCCAAAAAAAUUGUUAUGUUUGUUCAUCUGUGAUUCCUGUUGAAAAUUUUCCAAAAUUUGGCUUUCAUAUCGAGGACGGUUUUAGAAGACGACAUAUUAUUCCAGCACUGGCAGUGGUGGCCAUGGGCGGCCCGAAGAGCCAUGCAAGCCUAUGAGUUGCAUCACGGAAUUGGAUCUAUAUAGUUGCUUUAGGCCGAGCACAAAUGGCCCAGUGCAGAAAUGCAGCAACAAUACAUGAGGGAGCGAAUCUAAUUAACAUCUUUAAAUUAAAUAAUCUGCCUUCAACCCUUAACCACCAUUCCUUCCGAAAAAAAACCCUUUACCACCACCAUGAUUUUUUACUCGUUGGAAUCUGUUUCCUUGAAUCAUGAUGGUAUUAUGUAUUAUUGCGCUACCAAUCAAUUUCAAGAAUCAGGAACAGGAAUCAAUGCACCAUGUCCACAACAAAAGUCCAUAUGAACUGCUAAUCAAUUCAAGUUGUGAUUCAGAUAAUAAAUCCUGGGUCACACUCACAUAUAGCGAUCAUUGAAAUAUCGACCAAGAGACCUGCCGACCAUGCAUGAUAAACCAAAAAACAUUUAUCAGUCCAUAAAUAAACCUCUAUCAGUGGAGUAACUGAUGGGGCUCCAUCAAGAAUGGAGAUCCCCAAACAAAUGAUAUGCUGCUCUAAGACCAUCAAAUAAUAACUAAUUCAGGAAAGUUGAAAGCCGUCAAAAAGCAUGCACAAUCUGCACACGCAUUAAGCUAUUUAUUUACUACUCCAUUGAUUAGCAACUUCCUUUCCUCUCUUUUUAUCUUUUCCAUUUGUUGCAGAUUUUCAGCAGAAUUUCAGGCCCUGUAUGGAUUAUGGAGUACAACUCAACAAUCAUGAAUCACCAACAUCAUCUAAGAUAGCAAACUCUCACUCCGAUCCUACCGUGUAACACUUUAACAAUCUAAAGAUUUCCCUGCUUUUAAUACAUGCACACGAAGAAAAAAAAAAAAAGAAAGAAAGAGUAACGCAAAACCAAUUAUUACUAUCAACCAACAAGCUGUAUAUACUUGCAAAAACACAAGAGAAAGUGGACUAUGAACUGAUGUUGCACAAGAACAACUACUACUGGUCAUAUAAACCAACUAUCAAGAAAAGUAGACUGAAAUUGCAGCAAAACAAUCAGCAGCAGUAUCACGGCAGCCACUCCCCAGGGCGAGCUCCCUUCCGGGUACCGAUAGUACUGCAUCCUCCGAUGCCGAUCCCACGGCGAAGUACCCCAAAAGAAGCUCUCCGGGCUGUCUAUGCUGGACAAAAACCGCACGAGGAAUAUCAAGACCACCGGCACGGCAAACAUUAUCCAUCCCAGGUUUACUUCAGCGGUCUCUACCACUGACUCGUAAGAGACGUACGACUGGAGACCAAGAAAGAUACAGAUGACUCCCAAGAACAGCAGAACCGGAUAAGGCAGAGGGUUCAGUGAGAAAACCUCCAAGAAGGAGGCUGCAGUGCUUCUUCUGUGAACCAUGAUCAUAUACGAUUGAUGAUUGAGUGGUGGCUUCUGGAGUCUGGACUCUUUAUUUUUAGGACAAAUUCAGGAAGUCGUUGGGAACUGAAGGGGUACGUGACUUAAUCUUAUUGUACUGCUAGUCUGCUGGUCCUAGUUAUUGCCCAAUUAGCAGCACUUGACUAUAAAGGGGAUGUCUGAUGCAGUGUGAGAGGACCUACUGAAAUUAAGUGGUAAUGUGUACGAAAAGUUUAGAACCGUAGGUUUUGUUUUUGGCGACUUCUUGAUCAUCACCAUUUGGAAUAGUGAACUUAAGUUAAUUUCCUUUUUUAAAAAUUACUUUUUUUUUGGUAGGUUGAGUGAAAGGUACUUUUUUUCCUAGCUAGAAAAUGGUUUCCUUAUUUGUGGGGAUCAGUCAUGCUCAUCACUCAUCAAUGGCCUGUCAACGUAAUUUAAUGUGUCACGGUCCACUUUGCAGUUCUUGAUUGGCAGUUGUUGGACUGGCCCAGUUUGAAAGCAAACUGUAUCCCCAUCUUUUGGUGCCUGAUUUCAGGGCAUUUCAUCGUACUCUCUGCACCAGGAUUUCGAUUAUCUCCGAGUGUUAAUCUAUCUUUGUUGUGUUAUUUUCAGUAAUUUCGAUUGUUGAAAAAAAACAAUCUCUUAUUUUUUUCCAAAUUGAAAAAAAAAAAUCUAAUAGUACUAUGUUUUUUGAAGCAGCUGCAGCAUAAGUGGGUCGUCUAACCAGUCUAUAAUUAAUUGGUUAAGAGAAGCUGAGGAGCUAACAAAGCAGAAUUGAACCAUACAAAUGUUUUAACGCAAAGUUGGAGGUAAUAAUUGUGCGUGCGCGUAUUUGAAUAGCAAGUUAAUGUAAAUUUGGUUUACCAAACAGUGCUGAUUAGAGAUCCACUUGGAAUGAUUCGAAACCAAUGACGAAUGAAUCCAACUACCAACUCUAAAAAAACAUUGGGCCUCCUCAGGCCCAUAUGUCCUUGCAAGGACACUAGCAAGCGGAAUUUAGGCAUGCUGCUGUCUUGGCCCCUAAAUGUCUGCGGACGCUAGAAACUACAUAUAUAUACACACACAAAAAAUGACGAACAGGUAAAAGCAAAAUUUUGUUUGCUUAUCCAACCAGCAAGCCCUCGAGGAACAGCACUUUGUCCAAAUAUACGAGCCUUUUCCACCAGAAGAACCUGAGUUCAGACUUUUCCUUCGUACUGGAAAUAUAACUUGUAAUCAUUCUGCAAGAUUGCCAGAGCGCUUCUGCAAGGACCCUCUACAGACCAGUAGAAUAAGAAAGUUAGAUUCGAUGCAACUAGCCCCUUUAUAGUUCUCAAAAAAAAAAAAAAAAAAGGUUGUCUCACCUCCAAAUACCGUGUGAAGGUGCUGAAGCUGAUCUGCUGAACAAGCAUCAAUUAGAGCAUAUACACCAGGUCUCAAAGCUUCAUCAAUUUCCCUGUUGACAAGUUCAACCAUUGUGCUGUGAGUGCAAGGCAUGUACAAUGUAAAAGUUGGACAGAUGCAAAUAUCAUCCAUAAUUGAUGUUAAAAUCCAGAUUCCUAAUGAUCAGGAUAGUAGACCGCGAAGUGAACGUAAGACACGAGGAAUCACCUCCUGAUGCCGGUUUUAAGAGGACCAAAUCCACAGUAGACCCAUAUGUAACAGGAUAAAAAUUGAAAACAGUAGCGACCAAGGCUAUCCUUCUGCUGCCUUAUCUGCAAAACAAGGAAAAAAUAACCAGUUAACUUCUCUUUUUCUUUUUCCUUUUUUUUUUUUUGAAAUGGCAAUUGUUAUUUAAUGUGGGUGAGACCAGUACAUGCAAUUGAACAUGCAUCAAGUAAUUUAGUUUGCUCUCCAUUCAAGUUCCAAGGUCUAGCUAAAAUUAAGAGUAUACCAACAUUUUUUUUUUUUUUGGGGUCAAUAAGGCAUUUGGACAAGUUCUUUUCCUUUUAGUAAAAGAAUUAGGGAUUUGGAAAAUGGCAAAAGCAUAGGGAUUUGGAACAUGAACUAAAAUUAAAAUUGCAAACCCUGAACAGGUUGAAAUAUCUUGCAGCAUGCCUAAAACACUCGGAAAAGUACAAUCUUUCUAGUGCAUGGAAUAUAAGAAUCAAUUUAUCCACAGAGUUACUUAAGAGCAAUUUAUCCCUGAGUAGUACACGCACACACAUAUACACAUACCUCUUCAUAUACUCUUCUCAGACAGCAGGCACAUUUAACACCCUCUUGCACUUCCCAUGCAAAAUUCCCUCCUCUCACAAUUGGAUCGAUAUUCACCAUCUCCAAGCAAUGAAGAAGAAUACUGACUGAGUGUUCGAGAAGAGCAGCGCAUCGCUGAGUCUCACUAAAGAUCAACAGAACAGGGAUAGCAAAAUUGAUUAGCCAAUAAAAAGGGAUUAAGGCAGAUUUCUAGGACCAUUUGAACCAAGAAUAUAGGAAGUUUUUGCAUACCUUCCAUGAUGCUUAACAAGGGAGGACAAUAAUCGGCAGCAUGCAGCAUAUAGGUCCAAGGAAUACCUUCCGUCUAAGAUACGGCCACUUGUGAUUUUUAGGGAGCAAGUAUCUGUGGUUUUUGAAGUAGUUGAAGAAUAAGAAUCGGAGAGUUGAAGCUGGAGGAGAUUUUGGAAUAAUGCUGCAGGUAUGUUUAAGGACUGCCCAACAUAGGAGGCAUCCAUUUGAAAGAGAGCAUGCUUUCCAGUAACCCUUCUCAGCAACUCAAUGCACAUAAGGAUGACUGACCCAGAAUCUGGACCAGUGUAACCUUCAUCAAAGUUAACAUUUCCUUGGAAAAUGCUGGGCCCCUGCAAGUGUAGGACUACGUUGAAGAGACAUGCAACUAAGCUCUGGAUGUGUCUUUUUACUACGUUCAGACGUUUGCGCCCUAGAAGCAAAUGGAAAAAAUAUAAUUACAUGCAUAAAUAACACUGCAUGAAAUGAUCUAAUUCACAAAAGAUGCAUUACUGUGGCAAUUUGUUAUUUAAAACAACUGGAGAAGAAAAAGGGACUCACAAAGCAUGUCGACUAAAUAGCUCUACUGUGAUACUAGUUCCUUUCCAAUAUCAUCAAUGAAAUAAAUCCCAAAGCAUUAUAUUCACAACUUUUUCCCGCAUGUCAAAUAAAGAAUUUUUGGUCCUGCUGGUCCAUAUGAACCAAGGCCUUGUUCAGCACCAAUCUUUGGUUCUCUGUGCAAAAACUACUUUAUUCUUCCAGAAACAAAUCAGAUGAAGGCAAAAAACCAGAUCGUCUGAUGGGAUCUAACAUAUCAAUUGAGAAAAAUAGGAAGAUACCAAGAGACAUAAAGAUGUACAAACACAGAGAAACCAAGAACAAUCCACGAUUUAACAGACAAGAAAUCAACAUGCCGAAAGUUGGCAAUCCACAUAGAGAUUAUCUUUUUGAAAAUGUUAUUCAAAACAAGAGGGGGGGCAACUGAGUGAGGUACAAAAAGCAAAGUAACCUCACCUGUCACAAAUUCAAUAAGUGAAUCCAAACAAUCAAUGCCAGCAGCAACAACUGAAGAUACCUUCCCACAACCCAAACUGCCAAUAUGAAUUUCAUAGUUUGUCAAGCAGCCGUCCUGCACUCCCACAACAGCUCUUUCUAUAGCCUGAAUUGCUGUUAACAAAUGCAACUCUGAUGAUUUCUGAACCAGAACUCUGAAUGAUGUCCUCAGUCUAGCUAUAAAGUCAUCCAAGCAACUCAAUUCGUGAGAAAUGGAGGACUCAGAAAAGUUCAACCACUCAAUUGGCUUUUCCAUACUUGACCCAGUCUCUUUUGAAGAAAGAGUAGCUAUUUUUCCCUGUAAAACAAUGCACUUUCCGAUAGACCUCAAAUGCAAGUCUAUCAGCUUCCCAUACAAUUUCCUGGAUAAUAUAGGGCUGGAUGAAGGAAAACAAUUACCUAAUUCUUCCAUAAAUUUGAUAACCCCAUUUAACCAUACAAAAGAAAAUGGAGGUGGAGCAACAUCUCUUGCAAAUUCCAGUAAUAAGACUUCAGAAACUCCAAGUAGAAUUGGCAUAAUAUUUUGCAACAGAGCAGUGGAACCCAGCUCCAACUUCAGUCUCAAUAUAGCUGCAGCAGCAAGAAAUAGCUGUUUAAGAAAAUAAGCCUCUUCUGAUUUGUCACCUCUGAUAAGUUCAUGCAAAAAUGUCUUCCUUAAACAUCUUGAAUCAAACAAUUGAACCUUGGCUAGAAGAGAUUCAACAUCUUCAUUUUUUGGAAUGGGCUUCCCUUUCACUACAGAUUUGUCAGAAAUAUAAUGUACUUCAUUAUUUCCUCUGUUACCAAAAGGUUCACUAACUUGUGACAUUUCCGCAUGCAAAACAUCAUUACCAUCAGCACCUUUAUUAAUGAACACCUCUUCAUUUUCCAAACACAGAUGGUCCAAUUCUGGCUGGUCAAGUUUUUGAGCAAUUGCUAGAUUUUGAGCCAAUGAAUCAUCCUCAAGAAGAAAUAGCUGUAAGAAGUAGCUUACAUAUUCUGCACAUGUAUUUAUAAAGAUAUUUAGUUUGUACAGAGGUUCCAAUUCGCAUUUGGACAAUCUUAUCCUCAUUUUACAAUUCUCCGCAUCUAUGUUGCCGAGCCCAGAAGCUAAACCCCAUAGGAAGCCUUGAAUGCAAGAUAUCACAGGUGACAAUUUCUUCAACUCCUGAAACUCAGGCAGAACUCCCAAGUUUUCACUUGCAUAGGCUUGGCUAAAACAUGCAAGUGAGUUCUGCAUGCAUUCGCUUAAAACAUUGGCUACAAGUGCUAAACUUUUACAUGGAUCAUUGUCUCUGCAAAAAUCUAAAUGUGGUUCAUCUUCAGCCAAAUCUGUGUCUUGACUACCAACAGCAAAAUUAUCUUGUCCAUUAUAAUCCAUCCCUGAAAAAAGCAAUGAAAUUUGCAACCGGUUUUUGCCCACUGUCAAAAACAUAUAUGAUGUGUGAUCCAUCAAUGAAAAUAACAAAUCUUUCAGUUGAGAAGGAACAGCUUCUGAAGAAGCAUUUUGAAAUCCAACUACUGCAAGCAAUGACUCCAAAAGCCAUAAUACAGGAGAUGAACCCUCUAAUAGUAAGCUAAUAAGUGAAGAGUGAUUGUAAUCCAUAUUCUCUUCACAUGAAGCCAUCAAUAAACUUUUAAGGGUCCUCCGACAGGAGAGAAACAGUUGGAAAAACUCAUCAUGACCACCUGCAAGUAAGGUGUUGUACCAACCUAACAAGCUGCCAACCGCAACCCUGAAAUGCACGACUUUAAUGAAACACUGAGAAAGAAUUCUAAGCUGUGCAUGCUUCAUAAACUGAAAUUGCAACCCCCCCCUGCCCCAAAAAAAAAGGAGUAACUCAUGUUGCAUGACUAACCAGUAACAUAGAAUUCAAAUCAAAUAAGAAAAGAAAAUAAUAAAGUCCUCGCCCCACUUGAAUUUUCCAAUUUGCAGUGAAUUGUUCUACAAGAUUAAGCUGAUUAGGAUCUGAAAGAGCAUAAAUUCAAACCACAUAUAGACAGGUAGGCAAACUUUCACAAAAAUUUGCAUAUGUAAUACAAAUAAUGUGCAUUUAUACUUCUACUGAAUCCAAACUUAUUAACUAAGAUGCUGGAGUAUUAAUCAAGAGACAAACCCUAUAUAGGGCAAGUAGCCAAUAUCAAAUUCUUAAACUGAAAAAUAAAGAGUUGUUAGCUGAAGCAACCACCAAAGGUCAGUGCUUCCACACCACAGUGACCACAGAUGCAAUACGCAACCUAGAAUGCCACAGUGACCACAGAUGCAAUACCACACUGUCAGUCAAAAGAAGCCCACAUUAUACUGAAAUCAUCAAAGCAAAGGAUAGUCAAGCAAAGACAAGAAAAUAUCGAAAAAUUGAAGGAACCAAUAGCUAAUACAAAAGGUCAUAUCUAAACAGAAGACUAGAUGGUUCCCUGUUGGGAGUUUUUACCGUCUUAACUUUGAACUAUGCUUCUCUUUUUCACUCUGCAUCUUUCUACUGAAAAGUCUGGCACUGUCCCACUUCUAAUCUCAGGACUUAAAUUAAAGAAACUAAUCCUUUUACCAAAUUAUUAACAAAUGAAAGAGCCAAUGUUAGUGGCAAGAGGAUCUUCACAUUGUAAUUUUAAAUUUAAAAUAGUAUGACAGGUAAAAGAGUUCAUUUCAUAAAGUGCCAAGGCUCCAUAAAGCAAAUUUAAGAAAGAUGAUCCAAUGAAUACCCAUUCCACCCCCACCCUUCUGGAUUUAGUUGUUGAUCCAAUUUGCACAAUGCAAACAAAAACCAAAAAAAUUCAUUCCCAAGUUGUUAUACUUUUCUAGUUAGUUAACAUCCAUAGUUUGGUUCACAUCUUAAGACCAAAACACAGAUCUAAACCUUGGAAACAUAUACUAUAAACCUACCGCACAUUGAAAAAAUGGCUUAAAUGCCAAAAACAACAUCAGCAGCUAGCAGAUCUCGCAUAUCAUAUGCAUAGCCACUUAAACAUAUUAUCAGAACUAAGGUUCACAGGAAUUGAACAUACUGCUCAAGUUUGAGAAUGCAAUUCGCAAACGAUUGGAAAGAUUUUGGACCUAGAAUCUCUUUUGGCAUCCAAGACAAAAAGUUCAGCAAACUGUUACACAAAGCAUACUCAGUGUUGCUGGAAGGAGCUACAUCUUCUAUUCUGCAAAUUUCAGCAUUCUUCGCAGACUUCUUGACAUGAAUAAUGUUAGAUGGAUUUCUAAGAGCGCGUAUAAUUUCCGACCAAUCAUGUUGUGAACUUAGAUAACCUUCUCCAAAAUCAACAGAAAUAGAUGACAAGGAUGCUUCCAAGAUCUGGCAAAAUGUCGAUGCUAUAUGCCUGCGAAAAAACUAACAUACCAGAAAGUAAGAAAUUGCCUGCAGCUAGAAUCCAGUCAAAAAAUUUUAAGUGAAUAGCUAGAUGCCUGUGGGAAUUGGGAGAAUGGAAAGCAAAAAGUGUGGUUGGGACCAUGGGAAUGUAAGAAGAAAGAGGGAGAAGGUGGUGCCUACAUAAAGACUCUAUGACUUCACCCUAGAGGCAAAUAAACAAUAACUAACAAUUUAUUACGAGGUCCACUGGGCAAGGCCAGCCUGUCCCUUGUGUGACACAUGCAACUCUAAAAGCUGGUGAAUAUGUUAUCUGGAAUGAACAUACUAUCUUACUUUUUGUUCAUAGAGACCAGUGUCAUUCAGAAGUUCAAGCGAGAUUUGCUGUGUGGUAACAUUCCUCAGAUGGCCAACCUUGUUAAUGCAGUGUGAUCUAAAUUUGUCGUUACCACCACUUCCAAUAAGAAGGGAACAGUUGAUCAAAUGUGUGAGAAAUUGCUUAAGGUCUUUCUUAGAAGCAUGUCUGCACCAGAUAUCAAUAUGCUGACAAGCAAUCAACCACAUUGCAGCUGGUAAUGUCUUUUGGUCCAGAGCACCAACAUUAAGGUCCCAUGCAUUGUCUUUCUGAAGAUUUUGGAUGGAUAAGCAUUUAGAAAGUCCACUAUCAUAUGAGAUAGUUAACUGGUCCUUAAACAAUGACGAGAAACAUAACAUCAUGAAUUUAGUCAGCCCAGCAGCCUCUUGCUUCAUACUCAAGAGACACUUCCUCCACUUUUUACCUCUCUUAUAUGAUACUCCAGUAUCAUCAAUCAUCUCUGCCGCAAUUAACUUAUCAUUUCUUGCAAGCAAAUAUUCAAAGGAUUUUGUCAUCCUGUUUAAAUCAACAAGUCUCUGAAUAGUCAUGGCAUUUAAAACAUAGACUAAAGGCGGGCAACCAGCCAGAGUAUCUUGAAAAUACAUCCUUGAAACAUUGUUUAUUAUGGUAAGAAGAUUAGCUGAUGGUUGGAUGAUCCAAGAAAAGUAGCCUUCAGCAUUCUGAACAAUGCCAUCCAACCAAUCCUUCCCAGAGUAAGCUGCAUAAGGGUCACCCAUUGUUUCUGACAUUUUUUUGGAUGUAUGUGGUGGUACAUGGCUGAUCACUCGUCGAUAUAAGCUUCUGCAGGAUAAAUAUAGACGGAAAAAGAACACUAAGAGCCAGCAUGACAAGGAAUCAUUUUCUAAUCCAACCCCCCAGCUGGAACUUUGUCCAGAAACAAGGGAGAAAAACUUAUCCAUGAUAUCUGGCUUAAGUAAAUCUUGGCUAUUUGAGCUGUGGCACAUAAGUUCCAUCAAAUCCUUGAUGGAACUACCAACAGCAUUACAAUUACCAGAAGUGACAGUCAUGGAAUCUAGAAUUAAAGUAUAUAUUUCAGACAAAAAUCUUCCCAAAAGUUCUGCCUUCAAAUCAAACCAUGAGAAACCACCAUCAGUACAACCUGGCUUUGAUAAAUCAUCUGCAGGACCAAGCUGAAGUUGAGCAUUCAACCACUUCAGGGAUUCAGAAAUUUCUGCAGUUAAUAGUCGAAUACAUCCACUCACUUGGCCUUCUGGAAUGGACUUGAAACCGUUGUAGAUGGAAAGUCUAAACUCCAGCGAGCAUAGCAAUGUACUCAAUGACAUUGAGCAAGAACAAUAAGAUUCUGAAGUGCAUGCUUCACCGUCUUUAUGAGCUGAUUCCAAAUGCCUUGCUGCUUUACAGAGAGCAAACACUGAGGUAUUAACCUGCAUUCAUUUAACUAUAAGAUCAGUAUCUUUCAGAUUCCAAUCCACCAUAAGAAAACAGAGACUGAAACAGGACAAUCAAGUGUAAAAAUGCAAAACAAUAGUGUCAAAAAAACAACAAACUGCCAUCUACUUCUGGUCCCUUGUAUUUUUUCUUUAACUGAAGCUCUGUCAUUGUUACAUGCAACCUCCUUCAGCCUAACAAUAACAAGCAAUGGGGAAAGACUAAGAUUGCUACAUUUGCAUGCAACUGUGUUUGUAUACCAAACCCAUGACCUCCUACUUAUCCUAUGAUGUUGUUUGCAUCCUAUUCAGCAAAUAGAGUUUGCCUAUAGCCUGGUUGUACAAAUGAAAUUGAUAAUUUCCUUCUUACUUGUGCCCCUCUGAGAAAAUCUUUUCUUGUAGGGCGGGGGGAUAGGUCUCUACCAACAAAAGGCCAAUGUUCCAUAGGUUGGUCACUAUUAGUAUCAAACAAAAUAACGUUUAAAACUGAAAGCCUCUGAUUUCAGCACCAACAUCGCCUAUUCAUUAUAUAUUCCCACUUUUUGAACUCAAGAGCAGUCAUGUCAAAAUUGAUAUGAGAUAUUCAACCAACCUGCCGAAGUUCACUGUAAAGAUUGAUUAGGGCACAUCCAAGAAUAUGUAUCUCCGAGAUUAAUAGGUGCUUAUCCGGCACAUCAACCAUAGACUGGCUGGAGGAUGCAAAUGUGAACAUUAUCCCCCAUAAGUUUUCUAGAUCAUCCCCAACAACCUCAUAUUCAAUUUCCACUAAGAGAUGCACAGCAACAACUAUCUCCUUUGCCAUUAGAAUCAGGACCUCCUGAUUUCUAACAUUUGAACCAAAUGAUGACAUCAGAUGUUUAAUCUUGACAGACAACAACAUAAUGGUCUCAUAAAUGAAUCUCAGGAAAUUCAUGCAUGCCCCUUCAGAAAUAUCCUCCAAUCGUGUGUAUAUAUUUUCCUGCUUAAAACUGGCAAGCAACUUGUUUGCUGAUAUCAACACACACAGAACAUCUGACAAGGGGGUUCCUACAUUCCAUUCAGCUUGAAGAUGCAUUGUAAUAUGCGAUAGAAAAGAUUCCAUAAUUUGGACAAAGAAAUCAAAAAGAGACUUCCGUGUUACUGCACUCACAGAACCUGAACAAUUCUGUGUUUGUAAAGCCACAUUACUGCUACCAGAAGACCUUUCAGAAAUAUGACCAGCAGAAUCUUCCAGUUGCCUGGAAACUUUAUUGACACUUGAAACUCCUUUUUGCUUUGUGGCACACACAACAAACAAGUGAAAUAGUGCUCCCACGCCACCUAAUGGCAAUGAAUUUUUGCAGGCUAUGAUCUUCUCCAACUUGUCAAAUAGUUUUCUAUGAUAACUUUUAAUAAAAAAUAUUCUUUCCUUUGAUUUCCCGUCAUCAGAUUUUUUAUACUUGCCUGUGCUCUGCAAGCUCAAAAAUCCAUCAAUAUGAGCUGCGUGAAAUAACCCCUGAGAUGAAAUUUCUUCAACUAAUUUUAGUAGGUUUUUACUCCAUCCUAGAUCCUUGCAUGUAGAAAGACGUAACUCAUCCAAUAGAUGCAUCAGUGGCUCGAGAAGCCGAUCAAUAAAAUCAUGAAAACCAUUCUUACGAGCUGGAUGGACUCUCAAAAACUUAGCAAAUGGCUCAAGCAGAUAGCAUGAGAAUUGAAGGAUGAAGAUACCCGCCUUGCUGUCAGCAACUUUGUUACUGAAAACUUUUCUGACAAUUUCAAGCACUGUAUCAGUUACCAUAAUCCACAAGUCCAAAUUUGCAUUUGCAACCCCAUUAUGGGAUGAAAAUAUGAAUGAAAUGCAACUGAGCACAGUUUCUUGCAAUUCAUUGCCUUCACUGCUCAAAGCUGACUCCUUGGAAUCUAUUAACUCAAGACUGAAACAUGCCAAUGCAUCCCGUGAGAUGCAAUCAAUUACCCGUAGAAAGUCUCUUGAAUAGUUCAAUGAUACAUUAACUUUUAGAGACUCCUCCAAACAGAAUUUCAGAAUCACCCAGCAUCUGUAAUCUAAACAGAAGCCAACAGUUUCUGGGUGACCCUCAGAUCCUUUAUCUGGAGUUUUUUUAACUGAAGAAAUCAAAACUGACUCAAUCCAGUUGCUAACAAAAACUACUACUCUUGACAUACUAACUGCAUCCAAAAUUUCAAGGCUGUCGUCACCAUCUUCUCUUAUAGAUGUUCUUAACAGCACAUACUUACAAGCCACCUCCAGCUUCCUGCAUUAAAAUUGAAACCAAUCAAACUCCAACAGAAAUAUGGCAAAUCUUUGAAUGACAAAUUAAUCUAAUCAUUCUACAGAAUAGCUGUGUUUGAGAAAAUGGAAGACAGUAGAUUACGUUGGUUUAUUCUCCCUCCAAACCCAACCCUUUUUGGCUUCCUUGAGCGACAGCUCAUGCGAUGUUAUUGCAACACUAAACCAAAAGCAGCCCUCUUUACACCUAGCCAACUCUCAAACCCACCCUCACCUCCCACCCAACACAAAGAUGAAAACAGAAACAUAACAAACAGGAAACAACCUUCAAAGCUUCAGUGGGCUUUCUAAUAGCAUGAAUCCCCUUCAAACAAAUAAUAAACAGGAAUCCCCAAACUGUUCCACUCAUUUGAACAAUUUUGUCAAACAACUUAAGUAUUGAACGUAUACUGUUAGCAUAAAUGACAAUGGUGCGUCUACUGAUUAGUAAAAAGGAAACGGAAAGAGAGAGAAGAAUACUGACGUGGGAAGAUCAAUGUGUUUAUUCUGAAGCAACAAAAUCAACUGUAAAUUCCUCCAUGGAGACACCUCUUCUAAAUUAAACAGUAGUUUCCCAUCUUCUGCCUCUGUUUUUUGCUUUUCAUAUGUUCCUUGAGAGGAGUCAACUCUGGAGCUUUUAGAAGGACCCUGAUGUUCUUCUUCUUCUUCUUCUUUUUGGUGGGCAUGCAUAUGCUUUCUUUUCUUGUUUUUCAUCGUCGUAAAUUUUUCCCCUGGUCUCGGCUCGGAAUCAGCCAGUAUCAGGGCUCUUGGACGUGGUGGUGAUGGAGGUGCUCCAGAAUUUAAUUCUCAGGGGUUCUUGUUCUUGUAGGGUUUUAGGAAAAAGCGCAGUAAUUCAACGAGCGACGACGUCGUGUCUCUGGUGCGGAAGUUGGGAAAGAGGGUCUACAUCUUAUAAACUAUAAAGCACUAUUUAUGACACUUUAGUACCUAUACUUUUCUUUAUCGUCACUUUGACCCAAAUGGUUUGUAGAUAUUAGUUUUUUUUUUUUUUUAAGUAAAUGUCAGAACCUCCUAUUUACUUACAUUCACUCUUAUCUUACCACCCAAUCCAAUUUUUAUUUACGUGGAGUAUUAAAGUAUCUCCUAAGGGUUUAAAAUCCUCUUUAGAAUUAGGAUUUGGACAAAGUCGAUGAAGUAACUUAGUAAAUGAAAAGGUAAAACAAAUGUGCAUACCGCUUUUAUUUUUAUAUAGAUUGUUUCUACAAAAAUCCUAUUUUAUGAUAAUCAAUUUUUUAUCUAAACAUAAAACAGAAUCAAGAAAAUGUGAAAGUAAAAAGACAAAGAAGCUCUUGAAUGAUUUUAAUUAUUCUUUUUUAAAAAAAAAAAAAACCCUUGUAACUACUCUUUUCAAUUAUAACUCGCAAUCACCUAUCUCAUUAUAUAAAACAUAAUCGAUUCAAAAAAGCUGUAAAAAAAAAAAUGUCGGUGAGUUCACAUUUCAAAUUCUGUGUCCAUAUCUCUGGUCCUGACAAGACCUUCUACCUUCUAUACAACCCAAUUGAAUUUUGCUUCUUAAAUAGAGAGUUGGAAUUGUGAUGGUGUAUAAAUAAUUUUAACUACCUAGCAGGGUAUAAAAAGGGUGCUAGCACUAGAUUUUACAAUAAAUGUAUACUCCAUCAUGUACAUGCAAAAGUACAUUGUGGUGUAAACACACAUGUCAUCUUUACCAACUAGCUCUUCAAGUGUAUUUCUAAAUAAUUUCUCCAUAAAUCUAAAUUGAGGUCAUAAAACAAAAGAUGUAAAUUUGUCUAGCUUUAAGGAGUGUCCUCAUUAAUGUACAUGAAACAACAUGUUAGUAUGCAAAUUUACACUUCAUUGCCAAUUGUGUUAAAGUAGUGAUAAAUGUGAGGUAAUUGUCAUAAGAUGAGAGUUCGAGCAGCAAGGUGUCAACAUCUUGAAGAUACUAACAUGUUGAAUCCAGCUUCGAGGUUGACUCUACCAUUUUGUUAGGCCCUGCACACAUUAGAGAUUUGUGUUAAAACGCAACAUGGGGGAAUAGCUGGUAGCCAACCGAGUUGAAUUUGAGAAUAUGAAAAGCUCAAUACAAAAUCGGUUCACUUCCCUUUCAAUGUUCUAAGCAUUGAGAAUGACAAAUUACAACAUGCCAAAUGGUAAGGAAUUGAUGUAAUUUUCCAGUGAAACAGAAGCAAGAUCAACCUUAUUUGGAUUGCUGUUUUUCGUCAAAAAAUUACGUUGUUUUCCGUAAUCACAUUUUUCUAUUAGCUUUUUUUCUUACAUACAUCAAAUCACUACAGUAAUUUUUUCAUAAAAAAUCAUGAAAAAUACAAUCCAAACACAAUAGUAUUCCAGUCUUAGGGAAAAGAAGUUCUUGUGAAACAUUCUCCGUGGAAUACUUUCUUGUAGUAUAGUUUAGUCAACGUAGUAAUUUGAAAUGGAUUUUGCCUUUUGUCGCUGGUAUGCAUCGCCCAUAUCCUUCGAAAAAAUCGCACGAGGCUGCGGGGCUGUCAUUUUCUAGAGCACCUUUUUGCCGUACUAUAUACUUCUCGGUGCCAUUUAGUACUGUAUUUAGGGAAAGGAAAUUAGAUAUUUAUUUAAAUAAUUCCAACAUGGGAAUGAAGCCGGAUGUACAAAAUAUCUUUUGGGCCUUUUUGGUAAAAGAAUUUUUUGCCAAAAUUUUUCCCUAUGAGUUUUUUUUUUUUUUUUUUUUACCAAUUUUUACUAUAGUAACUUCAUAAAAAUUUUUCAAAAAUUUUUAAACUACACACCUUAAAAUACUCAAAAAUAUGUAAAAAAAAAAAAAAAAAAAUACCUUUCUUCCAUUCCUUUGCUUCAUCUCCCACCUCAACUCACCACUAUCUUUGCUACCGGCCAACGCCGACUAACUUCUUUGUUAGUGGUAGUGUCGACGAUUGUUUUCUUUCUUAAUCUUUCCUUUUCAUUUCUCUUUCUCUCUCUCCUUCCUUUCCCCCUUUCUAGAGCUGUUAAGCCAAUCGAGUAGCUCGAAAGCUCGUUAGAGCUCGGCUCGUUAAGGCUCGAGCUCGACUCGUUAAUUUUGGUUAACAAGUCGAGCUCGAAACAUGCUCGUUUAGUUAACGAGCCGAGUAAGCUCGGCUCGUUUGAUACUCGAGUAGCUCGUUAGAACUCGUUAAUGAAGGGCAUAUUUGUCAUUUUAGAAAUCAAAAUUAUAUAAAUUAAAAAUUAUAGGUUUUUAUUAAUGUUAAUUUGCACGAGCUCGAGCUCGAGCUCGUGAAACUCAACUCGUUUGUCACAAACGAGUCGAGCUCGAGCUCGAACUCGAGUCACAUAUACAUUUAACGAGUCGAGUUCGAACACAUUUUAAAGUUCAUUUUCUUAACGAGCUCGAGUUGAGCUCGGCUCGAAUUAAACUCGAGUCGAGCUCGGCAACCAAAUACUCGGCUCGACUCGGCUCGAUUAACAGCUCUACUCCUUUCCCUCUUCCCCUCUCCUAUUAUCCUUCUUUCCUUCCCUCUCUCUUGAUUCAAUGACGAAGAAGGAGAGAAGAUGACAGGGAAAAAGGGAAGAGAGGAAGGAGGGAGAGAAAAAAAAAAAGAAAAGAUCGUAGAUAACGGUAGCCGCCCAAUGGGGAGUGAUGGAGAUGAUGAGUAAUGUGAUUGGAAAUAAGAAGAGGAGAUGAAAGAAAGGGGAAAAGAAAAAGAAACAGGAAAAAAAGAAAAAAAAUUUCUUAAAGAAAAGUUUUUACAAAUUUUAAAAAGUUUUUUUGAUAAAUUUUAUUUAAAAUUUUAUCAUAAAUUACAGUAAAAUGUUAGAUAAAUAAUAAAAAAAAUCAUUUGUGAAACGGGCCCUUGCUAGUAGGCUAAUAAAACUUCACAUGCAUGCAUGAGUAACAAUCUUGGAAUAUGAUAAAUCAAGGGUCUGUUUGGUUGGAAGUAAAAUGUUUUCUUUGGAAACAUAUUUUUCGUAGAAAUAAUUUUCCAUGAAAAUCAUUUCCCUUUCAUCAUUUUCAGGUGUUUGGUUAGCUUAUUGAAAAUAUUUUCUUACUUCAUUUUUCUGGUGUUUGUUUAACUUUUGAAAUAUCUUCACUUUUAUCUCUAUCUUUACUUUCUACACAUUAUAACUACAUAUUUCUUCCCAUGCAAAAUAAGAAAAUUUAUCUCAUUGUUUAACUUUAAAAAAUCUUGGAGAAAUGUAUAUAUGAAUAAAAAAUAUCUCCUUAAACAAUAAACAAAUUGCUGGCCAUUUAGUGUCAAAUAUCAAUCACAUGCAAUGCUUAUUGUGACAUAUAUCUUGCACUCUCACUGCUGAAAGUUUCUCUAGAAAAGAAUGUCCCUAUUAUACAUAAUUAAUUACUAGCAUAAGAUGAGCAAGAUGAGAUUUUUUUUAUUUAUUUUGAAUAUACUAGGAGGAGGGUUGGGUUGGGUUGGGUGGUAUGGGGGAGGGAGUGUAAGGAAGAAGUUUUAGGUUUGAGUCAUCCUGUUUACACUAAAAAAAAAAAAGAACAUACUACAAGAUGUUUUCAGUAAGUUUGGAACAUACUACAGGCGGGAUGCAUGCAUUUCGGAAAACAACUUCAGUAAGUUUGGAAGGAAAGUUGUUUUCCAUAGGAUGAGUGAAAAUAUUUUACAUAGGAAAAUGUUUUCAGUAAUUUUUGUGCAACCAAACACGAGAAAUUAGAAAAAUAUUUUCCUGAAAAAUAUUUUCACCCGAAACAAACGGACCCAAGUGAAGAUUUGUUUUCAUUUCACACAUUGAAGACCAAUAGUCCAAGCCGCAGAAGGCAAUUUUGCCAAUUAGGGACGCCAACCAAGCCCCCCCUCAGGGCGCCAGCCCCGUGCUCAUUUUCCCAACCCUUUUGCUGGUUGGAUCUACUGAUCGUACACGUGCACUACCAGACACAGAUCCCUAUAAACAAACAUGCAUUAUUAUUAGGAUUGCUCCCUUCACAGGUACGGACUAAACAACCCCUGCCCCGUGGCCCCUUCCAUCAUCAGCUUAAGCUGCACAAGUCCCCACGGCACUUUUUAACUGCACAUGGCACAACAAAAAAUACCAGAACCAACUCCGUCCGUCAAUUUCACAACAGUUGUGGACCCAAUGUACGAGGCGCAUGAUUAUCCGAAAAAAGAAGCAAAAUCCCAAGACCUCACAUGAUGUGCAACAUAAUGUCGCGUCUGAAGUUGUUUUCUAUAUUUAUAUUAUGAAUUACAUUCAUAUUGAUUUGCAUAAUUGAACAAAAGAUUAUAUUAUGUUGAAAUGCACAAAUUUGAGUCGAUUGAACUGACAAUCGUUCGCGUCUAAUUUCCUCAUCGCUAAUAAUCAACUAAUACGGGUUUGCCAAGUUCGCCAUGAAAGACUUUUUAAAUCUCUUUCGGUUCCAAGUCAAGAGUUUAAACCUUACUUACUAAAUCUGCACAGUAAAUUCAGUUUCCUUUUCAUCAAAAAAAUUUUGAGUGUGUUGGUCUACACAAUCUUCCAGUAUAACUGGUGCAACCUUUACCCUCUUUACAUAAUUUUUAUAGUGUAUAAGUAGAAUAAAUGAUUGAUACUUAUUGGACUCAACUGUCUAACUUUUGGCUCUUAACAUGGUUUAGUUGGGUUCUCUCUUCUCCAUCGUAUAUAAGUAUAAUAAAUAUUGCGAGGAUGGAUAGAAAAAAAGUAAAUUUUAUAUACACUAUCAGUGUAUACAUCAUCACGAAUUGGAUGAAUGAUACAUGAGUAAAAUUUGAAUUUAAAAUUUAAAUUUUAUACAUGUAUCAUAUAUGUGAUGGUGAUAUGUAUAUAUGUAUAAGAUAUACAAGAUUAAUCCUCAAAAAAAUAGAAGUGAUGUUAGUGGGUCGCACUUUAUAUAUAACGUGUGAUGGACAAAGAACAUAAUACUAGUUUUUUACAACCAUUUACUACUUGGUACUGAUGGGACGCUUGAAAAUGCUAGAUAGCAGGCAUGGAGAACUCACACUCCCAUUUUUUUCCCCCAGUCCAAUUUCAAACUUCAAAUGACGGCACAAUAUGAGUAGCCAACUUGAUUUAGACAUCGAAUCCUUCGACACAAAAUAUUGAAGGGUGUUACAGAGUUUACAACUUACGUAUACAUGAUUAACAUAUCAUAGAUUUACCAAAUCGCUCACACAGUUGCAGUUUUCGAAUGGCAUAGCCCUCCGCCACGCAUGACGUAUGAAGCCAGCUACCCCUCUUCCCACGCCCAAAUUGGCUGGUGAAUGCAGAGCAUUUUUACCCUGUAUUGCAAUUCAUGUAAUUUCCGUGACCUAAGAAAUAUGUGUAGAUGUUGAUUGUCCUUACGUGACCAAGCUGCUGCUUUGGGUCAGCAUCUUUCAAUUAUAUACCCCAGGCUUCUCCAGGCCUACCUGUUGAUAUUUUGUCCCUAUUACUGACGAUAUAAGAGAUUUCCCAUGUCUCUAUAUUCUAGCCUGGUGGUCCUUUCUUUAUAUUCAGCCUUUUCGUGGGAUCUCUAUUUCUUUCAUUAUUAAUUGUUCUCACUCCUCAAUCCUUAAAAAGCUUUGCGUAAGUGAUGCUAUUGAUCAUCGGUGCUGUUCAUAGUUUGGUUUUCUUCGUUUUCUCUGCUUUAAUAUAUGUAUUAUCUGUUUUCUGAAUCUGGGUUUUCUCUCGUUUCGUUUCAUGCAUGUCCCAAUACCUAUUCCACUUCUUCUGCCAAAUGGGAGUUCUUUAAGUCCUGAGUUCUGGUCUAAGAUAAAAUGAUGUUCUCUCCCUCCACCGGGGGCGCCGCGGGGGCGGCGUCUCUGCCUUUAUUAUUAUUUUUUUGGCUGCCUUUCUUCUUUCUUGUCUUCUUUCCUCCUGUUUUAAUUAUUUUUGUUGGACGUCAGUACGCCAAGGAAUAUUUGAUUGGCGGUAUCUAUCUGUCUCUGGAAUUAAAGCACAUUAGCAAACAUUACUUGUUGAACCCAUAUCUUAAUUUUUUGCUGAAAUGAUUUUAUCUGUCAUUCUGCACGUCGCACGUGAGGGUUUUUUUGGCUGAAUCUUGAUUUAUGAAAUGCAGAAUGCUAAGCUGCUGAUAUAGUUUGCCCCGGAACUACUUUUCUUGAAGACAAUUAAAGGCUUCAAGAAUGUCUACCCUUUCUGCUGAUGUUUCUCAAAAUGGUACUAUCAAGAAUGUUGAUUCGUCGAGUAGUGUUUUUGAACUAGAAGAGUAUGAUUUCUCCAAGUUGCCAGAUAGGCCUAAGAAUCUGAAUAUAGAUAGACAGCGAUCAUUUGAUGAAAGGUCACUUACUGAAUUACCAAUGGGACAUUCUCCUUGUCCCCCGUCGAGGGCGGAUAACUACUAUGGAGCUUUAGAUCAUUUUGACGGUUUUUUUUCCCCCAGUAAAAGGUCUCUCCUUAAUACUCCGAGGUCAUUAUUCGGAUACGAGCCACAUCCCAUGAUUGCUGAGGCAUGGGAAACUUUACGCCGUUCAUUGGUCUAUUUUCGUGGUCAACCGGUUGGGACCAUUGCAGCAUUAGACAGUUCUGAAGAAAAACUCAACUAUGACCAGGUGAAGCAAGUGAUACAUUGAAAACGUUACUUCUAUCUUUCUAGAGCAGUAUUUAGUUUUCGCGAACAAUUUUUUUUUUUUUGACUCGUGAGUAGUAGCAAUUUAAUUCAUUUUCACUUGAGAGCACGUAGGUAUUAGAACAUGAAGAUUGGGUUCUGAUUUGUGGCGUUAUCUCGUCUCUUCUCAGUUAAAUGCAGGGAUUAAGGUGCUGUAAUCUCUAGUGAAUGUGUUGUUUACCUACGUUAACUAAAGGUUGAUUGGUAGUUUAUAUUCUACUUGAUGCAUGACCAGCGUUAGGCUACCAACAAGUAUGUUCAUCAUAAAUGGGCUUUUAGAGUUGUUAGAAUGGCAGAGCGCAUCGCAUGAAAUAGAGAUUCCUAAUAGCCAGUCCAUGGAUAAUAUGGAAAAUCAUUUGCAAACUGUCAUUUGGAUAAGGUGUUGUUAUGCUUUAUGUUAUUUUGAAGAAAAAAUUACUAUUAAUUUUUUUAUCUGUUUUUCUUUUCCUCCAAUUACUCUAUCUGCCUCCAGCUUGCAUUUAGAUAAAAUGGCAUAUGAUACUUUUACAGGCCUAUUCCAUCCUAUUCCAUUUGUACAUGUGGUGAUUGACAUCUUUUUUUCAUGUAGGUGUUUGUCAGAGAUUUUGUUCCUAGUGCAUUGGCCUUUCUGAUGAAUGGAGAACCUGAAAUAGUGAAAAAUUUCAUCUUGAAGACCCUUCGGCUUCAGUCAUGGGAGAAAAAGAUUGAUCGAUUCCAAUUGGGAGAGGGUGUGAUGCCUGCUAGUUUCAAAGUACUCCAUGACCCAGUCAGGAAUACUGAGACAUUGAUGGCAGAUUUUGGCGAGAGUGCAAUAGGAAGAGUGGCUCCCGUUGAUUCUGGGUUUUGGUGGAUCAUAUUACUUCGAGCAUACACAAGGUCAACAGGAGAUUCUUCUUUGGCUGAGAUGCCUGAGUGUCAGAAAGGCAUGCGGCUAAUUCUCAGUUUAUGCCUUUCAGAAGGAUAUGACACAUUCCCAACUCUUCUUUGUGCUGAUGGAUGCUGUAUGAUUGAUCGCAGAAUGGUGAGUUCCCGACAGUCUAUGCUAAUUUUUAGUUUUGUUGCUUGUGAGAUAGGCUUUUCUCUACAUUUGUUUCUUUGCUUUUUAUUUCUCCUUUCUUUAGAACUCCUCUCGCUCAAUGAUCUUAUGGUUUUGAUAUGAUUGGAAGUAACAGGAAUGAGUAAACUACUGUCAGUGAGAAAUGACUUUGGUGGUUGACUGGAGCUUCUCCAAUUCUUACACCUUACAGCUCAAAACUUUCAUUCACAUAUUGCUGAUUUUUUGUUAAAAUUUUCAUCAUAGAGUUGAUUUUAUGGUAUCAAAGAUAUAGCUUCUACAUCUAUUAUUCCACAUCCCCUGCUGAAUGUUAACAUAGAUCCAAUCAGCAUCAUAUUUGUUGCUUGCUGUCCAAUAGAUACAAAGUUUUGUAACACUGUGUUUUGGAUAAGCAAGAUGCCAUUGGAGGUAUUAGACUGUAGUGAACUAAAGAUACAAAGAUAUUACACCCAUAAAAACAAAUAAGAACACAGCUCAAAGGCACAUCAGAAUUUGCUUCCUAUAUGUCAGAUGUCUACUUGAUCCCUAUGCAAUAUUUUUGGCCGUUUGCUUUAACUAAACUUUGUAAGGCUAGAAUUAGUGGUUGUGAAUCGUGCUGGAAGCCUAAACAGAUGGAACUGUUUGUAAGGUGCUUCUUGAACAAAAAUGUCAUUGUUGGAAUAGUGAUAUUAAGUAUUGUUCUGUAGAAUUGAGAAGCUAGUUGGUCUCUGAAUAUUCAAUGGAGGAGUAGGUGUUCAGUUUAGAAACCAGAAAUCCAGAAUUAAGUGUGUUGAGCAUUUGACUCUUACAGAUCUAGAAGGUGGAUGUACUUAAGUUGGAAACAGUACCUGACUACUGGUAUGCAAUCAGCUCAGCUUCUGUUUUGCAGAAGUUCAGAAAAAAAUUACAGUUGGAAAAACCAUGCAGUUAAUGGGUUUUAAACUGUUGUCCUCCUGUCUUGCAUGAUUGAGGGCUAUUAUGGCUGCAAGGCUCUGGAGAUUUUUGUUUUUGUUGUACUUAUCCCUCUGGAAGAUAGAUUACAAUGUCAUUAUCCAUGUUGGUCAAUGAUGCUCAGUCGCUAUUCAGAUUUUAAGAAGUUCCCUUCUUCUUCUUCUUCGUCUUCUUUUUUUGGGGUUGUGAUUCAAAAUUUAAUCCUUACUUUUGUAGGAAAGCAAUUGCUUCAUGUACUUACUUGAAUUGACCAAUGAUCACUAAAUCAGAAGCUAGUGUUUAUGCUUGCAAUCAAACACUGCCAAAAGCUCUUAAUUUUUGCUUUCCAAAGGGUGAAUGAUUAGUUGGAAGAGCUUUUUCCUUAGCAUUGAGUUCUAUGCUCUCAUGUUUUAGAGUAUUAUUUUUCCUUUUCUCCUCAGGGUGUUUAUGGAUACCCAAUUGAAAUACAAGCACUUUUUUUCAUGGCCUUGAGAUGCGCCUUGGUUUUGCUCAAGCAAGAUGCUGAAGGGAAGGAGUUUAUGGAACGGAUAGUUAAGCGUCUUCAUGCUUUGAGUUAUCACAUGAGAAGUUACUUUUGGAUAGAUAUGAAGCAGCUCAAUGACAUAUAUCGGUAUAAAACUGAGGAGUACUCCCACACAGCAGUAAAUAAAUUCAAUAUCAUGCCUGAUUCUCUUCCAGAAUGGAUAUUCGAUUUCAUGCCAACACUUGGUGGCUACUUUGUUGGAAAUGUUGGCCCUUCAAACAUGGACUUUCGUUGGUUUUGCUUGGGCAAUUGCAUUGCAAUAUUGUCAUCCUUAGCAACACCUGAACAGGCAACUGCCAUUAUGGAUCUUAUUGAGUCUCGUUGGCAGGAACUUGUUGGAGAUAUGCCUCUGAAGGUUUGUUAUCCAGCUAUAGAGGGCCAUGAAUGGCAGAUCAUUACUGGAUGUGAUCCAAAGAAUAUUAGGUGGAGCUACCAUAAUGGAGGAUCAUGGCCUGGUAAGCUUUCAUUUAGAGUACCAUACUUUGCAAUUUAAUCGGAAGUGCACCUGCGCUAGAAAACAGGACAAUCUGAUGAUUGUUUGUAUGUCUGGUUUCAAGUUCUCAAGUAACUUGUUUCUUGACUACAUCAUAGUGGUUUGUUGGUUGAAAAAAUGCUUGAGUUUUUUAAUGGUUAUGGUCUUGAGAUUGUCAAAAGAAGAAACAGUAUCCAUUUUCUGAGGUGGAUAUUGAUGUACUGAUUUUAUGGAAUUGUUAAAGUAUCGUUACCUUGUACCUGCAUAUUGAUGCUGGCAUCCUUCUUGUUGAACGGUCAUGGACGGGGUGAUUAUUUUUUUAUGUACUGUAAUUGCUUUAUCCUGAAAAAGUGAAAAGUGAAAAGCUUGCGGUAUCUAUAUCACUUUUAUCUGGGUAUAAAAUGCUUAGAUUAAUAUCAUUUUGGGCGAGGCAAUACUAUAGAGAGUGUGAGAAAUGAACCCUUUUAAGGUUUUGCUUAUAAUUGUUCAAUUUUUCGUUGCAGUGCUAUUAUGGCUCCUGACAGCUGCAUGUAUCAAGAUAGGACGGCCUCAGCUAGCACGGCGUGCCAUUGAACUUGCUGAAACCAGGCUUUCAAAAGAUGGCUGGCCUGAAUACUACGAUGGCAAACUUGGUCGGUUCAUUGGGAAACAGGCUAGAAGAAACCAAACAUGGUCCAUUGCUGGCUACCUGGUCGCAAAAAUGAUGCUUGAAGACCCUUCACAUCUGGGAAUGGUUGCACUUGAAGAAGACAAGCAUCUGAAGCCUGUCUUGAGGAGAUCAUCAUCAUGGACCAAUUGAUGCUUCUCCAUGUUCUUUCUCCUUGCCUGCGACCUCAGUUUCUCCCUCAUUUGUCGGGAUGAAUGGAGAUACUUGCACAGUUGAACCAAGUAAUUGAAUAGAAGGGAAAGGGCAAAAGGCAUAUAUUUGGGCUAGGAGGGACCAAGGAUUUUUAGCUCAUCAAGAAUUCUGUGAAAGAUGGAGCUUUCCUAUUAGUAGCUUUCAGUCAGGAACUUGCACUAACCAGUUAGCAGAUACAUAUGAUUCUGUCCGCUCUUUUACUUCUAAAUGCUUAGCGUUAUCUGGAUUCUUUUCUCCAGCUAGUAUUUUUUGCUGUCAUUUGGCACUUAGCAUAAAGUCUCUUCAAAUUUUCUUCUGUUUCAAAGUACUUUUUUUUUUUUUGGAUAAGUAAGAACUUAUUAUUAUUAGUAUCUAAGAACCAAAAUAACAUACAUGAUAUGUCUCAAAUCAGCAACUUUAACUUACACAACGUACAUUCGAUGCUAAUGUCACAACAGUUUGAGAUACUUUGUGUGCCAAUUACAAUAGAAGCAGCAGCAGCUAACACUAAAAUUUCAAAUUGAACAAAUGUUCUUUGAUAACAACCAAAUCCUUGCUAACACUAAAAUUUCAAAUUGAAUAAAUAUUCUUUGAUAACAACCAAAUCCUUUGCAGUCAUUUAUUAGUAUCCGUGUUCUUGAUUUUUUUAAAGGAGGACAAUCUGCAUCUUACUAUUUCAAAGAUCUCUUCUUGAACAACUUUUGUAUCCCUGCCUGCAUUCAUUCCUGAAUUCCCUUGAAUUCCUUUCUUUCCAAAUGCAGGAAACAGCAGCUGCUAACAAAACUCUUGCUUGGGUUUUAGCAAGAGAUUUGCCUUUCAAGUGAAUUCCAACCCAAUCAAUCAAAUUGCUCCAAUUGGUUUGAGGCCAAUGGACAGCAUAUUUGGAUUUGAAAAACCUCCAAAUGAAAUAAUGUUAUUAGUCGCUCCUCUUGGGCAGCUCGUUUGGUCACGACAGCUCUUUGAAAGUCGUUGUCCAGCUCCCUUACCCGGGAUUGAGUCCCAGUGGUUAUCGUGUUGGGGAGUAAGGGGCCUCUCCUGCUGGGUCGGAGUGGAAUUAGUCGGGCCCCGUAAGAAUUGAUCCGAACACCCACUCCGUUAGGAAAAGAAAAAAAAAUACUACUAUUAGUCACAGAGCAAUCAAAAAACAAAUGGCUGUGGUCUUCAAUGUGAAGUCUACCGAACAUGCAACUCACAUUUAUUUUGUUUCAAAGUACUUACCAGCGCUUUUGAAGUCAAAUCUGAGAGCAGGAAGUUUGCCUGUUUUCUUUGCCCUUUUCUAGCUUCAGAAAACUCCACUUUUCAGACGGCUUCCUAACGAUAUCACACAAAAGAUUCAUUCAACAAAAUGUUACUAGAAGUAUUAAUUAUUAUUAUUUUUAUGCGGUCAUCUAAUCGAAUCGUCUUAAAGAUUCUGUGUACCAAAGGUGCAUGAUGCAUAGCGUGCAACCUCAAUCGUGCAUUUAGUAUACCAAAGGUGCAUGACAUUUAUACUCAUAAUUUUACACUGAUUCUUCUAUUGUAUUUUCAAAAAAAAUCCUUAUAAUAUAUAUAUAUAUAUGUAUAUGUGUAGGAGUAUUAUAUCUAUCCAGUAAAACUUUAAUUGCAUUAGGCUGGUUCAGUUAGCAGUGUUCAUCGGCCAAUAAUUUGAUUAAAAAAUUCUAUUUUUUUUAGCAAGAGCAACAUUUAAUUACUGUCCAAACUUUUGUUUGGUAAUUGAAUUUCGACCGAAUGAUCAGUAUUUCAAUAAAAUAUCCAAAAUUUUAGUUUGGUUUUCCAAUAUAGAUUAGUUAAGUAUAUUUAGUAUGUAAUUAAUAAUAUCAAAAUUAUUAAUAUGUUAAUCAAUGCUAUGUUUUAAGAUCACAUAUUUGUUUAUAAGCAUAAAUUAUAACUUAUAACACUAAUAACUAAUACAUAUUAUAUAUUAGUAGGCAUGAAAUAUAUAAAAUAUUUAAUUAAAAUAUGAAAUUCGGUAAUUCAGUCGGUAAUCGAGAAUUCGAGAAUUGAAUUUCAAUAUCUAUUCUCAAAUUGUUUUACCAAAAUUUAAUCUUAAUCGAUUUUCUCGAAUUUCAUUUUAUUUAUAUCCGAUUUUUCGAUCCAAAUUGAAUCGGCCAUUCAUUUUUCUCGAAGCGUCAGCACCCCUAGUUCCAGUUACAAGUUUGCCCGUUCAAAAGUCCAAAGAGAACAAAUAAAAGUGUAAGCAUGACCUUUUUUUUUUUUCAACUAAAUAAUGUGACAAAAUUUGUUUGGGUUAAACAUAUUUUGUAAAAAGGUGUUAGAUUAAAUACUGUACGAUUUUUUUUCUAGGGAUAUACGUGACAUUAAAAAACGGCUAAAACAAUUUAAAAAAUAAUUUAAGAACAUAUUCGUGAUACAAUAAAAAAUUUUCAAAAAAAAAAGAAAAGAAAAGAAAAAGCGGUGUCCAAGCAAAACAGGAGGUCAGCCUGCUAAUUCCUUAUUAAGUUGGUCAGACUGACUGUGUGAGACUCUAAGCUAAAACCGACGAAUCAGCCUGCUGCAUCCUUGUAGAGUGGUUGACUUUUUUCAAUUUCCAGAUCUUUUUCUUCGUUAUAUUUAUAUCCAAAUACGAUAUGGGUUUAAUUUAAACAGAAAAAAAGAAGGCCGAUAGGGUAUUUAUGUUAUAUCUGCAUCCAAAUAUAAAUAUAUUCAAUUUCGUGUUUAAUUGUGUUUCAUUUUUUUUUUCUGGGGUAAAUCAGUGUCCGUUUGUUUCAUUGCUAGGAGGAGUAAGGUAGCCUACCCAAGCAACGUCAGUAGCCAAGCCAACAACAAUCACCAACACCACCGGAAUCAGAAUGAGGGGCACAGGGAAGAGGCCGAUCCAAGCCGUCAAAACAUGGGUACGGAGGCAACCACCCAAGGUCAAAGGUUUCCUCGCCGUGAUUUCCGGUAUGGCGGCCCUUGUUCUCCUCCGUGCUAUCGUUCACGAUCACGAUAACCUCUUUGUUGCUGCCGAGGCCGUUCACUCCAUUGGAAUUUCUGUCCUUAUCUAUAAGCUUAUGAAGGAGAAGACCUGCGCUGGUAUCUCCAACUUCCCUUAAUUUCGAAUCCUCUGUAGGCUUCUCAAUUCUUUUUUCUCUUUUUUAUUUUUGUUGAUUAUUUCAUCGUUUCUGACGGCAAAAUUUGAGCUUUAUUUUACAUAUUGCGGAAGGAUCUUGUUUUGGAUAGUGGGUUUUCUUUUUUCGAGUUUUUUUGGGGACUUUCAAUUAAAAAGGCAUUAAGAUGUGGGUUUUCUGUUUUAAAAUUUUUUUUUAAAUUGUUUUGUAAAGAGUAGUUAAGUUGAUAUCAGAAAAAGAUGCGAUUUUUAAUUCUCUUUUCUUAAUUCGCUACGAGCUCAAUUGCGCUUGGCUGUUGAUCUUUUUAGGCUUUCCUUUAAUGAGUUCUGGAGGGAAGAAUAUAACAAUUGCCCCUUUUUCUAGAGUGUUUACCAUUUCGUUUUGCUUCAAUUCUUGGAGGGUUUUUUUUUUUGGGGGGGGGGAGAGAGGGUGUUGGCGUUGUUUGUUUUGUAGAAUCUAAUGCCUGCAUUUGUUUAUUCAAUUUCUAUUGAUUUUACCUUUUUUAUCAUUUACUAAUUGUUCAGUUGUCUAAUUGGAUUUUGUGUAGGGCUUUCACUCAAGUCCCAGGAGCUAACAGCUAUGUUUUUGGCUGUUAGGCUUUACUGCAGUUUUGUGAUGGAAUAUGAUAUACACACUUUGCUUGAUUUAGCUACUUUGGCAACAACCUUGUGGGUUAUCUAUAUGAUCCGUUUUAAGUUGAAGUCGAGUUACAUGGAAGACAAAGACAACUUUGCAUUGUAUUAUGUGGUGAGUCCCAGAUUGUUUGCAUGCAAUUGAUCAUUUCCUUAUAUAGGAUGCAUUGACAUUUGAUGUUUGCUGUCGCUCUUCAUUGUAAUUUUUCUACGAGUUAGUACUUUUUCGUUGGUUAUCCAAGAUCCUAGAUGACCUUGUGCUACACUGACCAUGAAUUUGAUGAGUGUCUUUUGGUGCUUCAAAUAAGUGUGUUUGCUUUAGUUGAAUUUGAAUUUGCAGUGAGUUAGGUGGACUUUGGUUGGCAACACGUGUAUUGGAACUUAGUCAGUGGUUUUGUAAAAGGGUACACGUGCUGAUGCAUUGAGCACAUUUUAGGUUAUGCAGAGGUGGAGAUGUUAAAUUCAGUUGAUGUCCACUCACGUAUGUUUUGUAUGCUAAGUUCUAACACAUGUAUACAAAGUGAACUAUGCUAAGUUUUUAACACAUUUAUACAAGGUGAACUGACUAAGUACUCAUUUACAAAAUGCAAUUUCAUGGUACCAAAAUUAUAUCGUGGUUUCACUCACUUUGUCACAUUCAAUAUAUAAAAUUUGGCAUUAACAAUAGUAUGUGGCAUUAAGAAUUAGACUCAGGAUGAUAAUAUCACUGAAUUUGAAAUGACAGUGACUCAGCUCUUGGUCCUAAAGAACUUGUGCUUACAUAACAUGGCACUAAUAUGGGUAUGGGAAGCAUAUAAGGAAUUUCUGUAUCUCCGAAAUGAGUAAAGGGAUGGUUUGUAAAAUAAAACCAUAGUAAUAGAGAAGAAAUAAACUCUGUCUUUCGUAUGCAUUGACAUUUCUGCACUUGAAAAAUUUAGUCAAAAAUGGUUGCAGAGAGGAAUAGGGUACCGGAGGAUUUGAGAAGUUGCCACUAUUAUUUCAGGAUCUUGAAAGGUUUGAUUUGGUCUCUAAAAAUUUAAAUGAACUCUAUAUAUCAAAUUUUUGAUUAGUCAACUGCGAUAGCUCUUGCAAUGUCACAUGAUAUGAUAAAUCAUUUACUUCCCACAAUAGUUUUGAAUCCUCCCAGUACAUAUGCUUGGAAUAUAGAUUUGCCACGUAAAGUAAGGUGCUGGAUUAUCACUCAGUUACGGAUGCAGUCAGUGAUUCAUAACAUGUAGGAUUUAGUAAGGUAGAAUUAUGCUUUCAAUAUGUUAUGCGACUAAGCGUGCAAGUAUGUAUUGGGAGAUAGGUGAAGCUGAGUGAAACAAAUAAUUAAGCUCAAUUUGACAUAUAGCAUGUCUUCUUCUAUCGAUAGUUUGAAAUUGAGUGUUGGUCAUUUCAGAUUCCUUCUUGCACUGUAUCCCUUUCCUUUGUUGUUUUCUGUUCCAAAGUGUUUCAAUGGAUUAGUUUUCUCAUGCUGUCUGUGCUUACAUAAAUUGCUUGCUUUCCCCAUUAGGUGGAUAGUGUAUCUAUGUUACUACUAAAGCUUGUGGUUUAUCUAUUCUUUCUGGAUAACACUUUGUGUCCUUUCUUGUGUCCGUGAUGAAUUUUCUUUUUACUUAUAACUCUCGAUUAGCGUAAUAGGCUGUUCGUCAACAUUUAGAAAAUAUUGUCCAUAAACAGGUUUAGUGAGGGAGAAAGUUUUUGAGGUUAUGGGUUUGUAUUGGUGAAUACUUGGUUUAUUAUGGCUAGGCCUAUCACACAACGUUAAUUUGAUUUUUUCCUCCUCUUUUUUUGCAUUUUUUUUGGGGGGGGGGGGGGGGGUUUGUGUGGAGGAGGAAGAAACUGGUUGGGGUUAGGAGAGUGUGACUCGAGUCUCUGUUCUGAGACAGAGCAAGGCCCUUUAAGAUUGUGCUUCUUUUUUUUUUUUCAAAUUUCAACCACUUUUUCUUGUCGUUUCUUUUUCUUUGUUAGACUCAAGUCUCUGAGACAGAGAACAAGACCCUUUAAUAUUGGGCUAUUUUUUAUUUUAGUUUUCAUCCACUUUUUCUCAUCAUUUGUUUUCCUUUGUUAGAUUUGUUCAAAUGUCCUUGUUUGUUUUUUACUCCUAUGGCUUUUCUUUUCUUGUCCUUUUUUAAUGAUAGCAUUGGUUUCUUAUUAUGUGCAGGUAGUACCUUGCGCUGUUUUAGCUAUACUAAUUCAUCCAUCCACAUCACAUCACAUCAUCAACAGGAUUGCCUGGGGUUUCUGUGUAUAUCUUGAAGCUGUUUCUGUGCUGCCUCAGUUGCGAGUUAUGCAAAACACUAAGGUAGAAUCACCAAGCCAAGAGACCUUUGUCUGAUAUUGGUUUGAUUACUGGUCGUCGUGGUGAUACUUUUAUAUUGUUCAUUGCAGAUUGUUGAGCCAUUCACAGCUCAUUAUGUAUUUGCAUUGGGUAUUGCAAGGUUUUUAAGCUGUGCUCAUUGGGUUCUCCAGGUUUGAAUUACUCACUUCAUUAUGUACAUUUCCUGGAGUAUGAGAAACUAUCUGAUAUCAUCUGACAUCUGCUCAGUAUGCGAAUUAACAUUGGUCUCAUUGUCGACAAAGUCAUGUUGGUUCUUUUUAGAUGGUAAUAAUUAGUUGACUUUGACACGAACUCUGAGGUGAAGUUCGGAAAAAUAGUUGGCUUAGAACAUAGUUGGAGAACAUGCAGUACCAUAAGCCAAUUUAUUCAUUCUUAAGGACUUAAAAAAAUUAGGUAAACAUCAAUAGUGCUUUACUGACAGAUCGCCUUUGAUAUGUGUCCAUGUCCUUGUGUUUGAUCAGUGUUUAUGGUAUAUUAUGACUGCGUGUCAAAUAGUUCAGGCAAAAGUGGUGGUGGGUUAAUAAGCAUGGACUUCAUCAGAGUAAUUGGAUAUUAAAUAUGGUAUAGGAUGAUGUUUAUAUUGCUGAUUUGCAUGGGAUUGAGUUCUUUUGAAACUAUGCAUAGUCAGAGUAGAAAGAGGGUAUACUUGCACUGGCUCAAAGUGGCACUCGGGUGUUAGUUGCUUUCCUAUGUCCAGAGUACUGUCCUUUUAAGUCACUAGACAACCUUGUUUAGGCAGACAGAUUGCCCUUUGUUAAGCACAUAGCUGAUUAGUUGAAAUCCUCCAAAAAGAGGUCGGACAUGUUAAACGGUUUGUGUGAAUUUGCUUUUCCCCCAAAGUGAAACUUUGUUAACAUGACUUUGACUAAUUGUUGGCGUGAUUUUUCUUCAUUUUGACAGGUUCUGGACAGUCGUGGCCAUCUGCUUACGGCUUUGGGAUAUGGACUGUGGCCUUCCAUGGUGCUUAUAUCUGAAAUUGUUCAAACGUUCAUUCUAGCAGACUUCUGUUAUUAUUAUGUGAAAAGGUGAACUCAACUUCUUGUACUUUAUUAUUCUCGAGCUCAUAGAAUCUAGAAUGAUAGCUGUUUUUUUGAACAUUUCUAUCCAUGUUGCAGUGUUUUUGGAGGACAGCUGGUCUUACGCCUUCCUUCUGGAGUAGUAUGAUUCAUUAUCUGUCUGAGCAGGCCACCAAAAAGAAGUUGAAUGUAGUAGUCGAUUGUUUUCUUUUUAACUUUUUUGUCAGGGCUCUCUCCUCACGGUUCAUGUUGGUUGCUGGUAAUUCAGUGUCGAAAUUUAAGGGAGUGAUGGUCUGUAAAGUUGGCUAUUCGAGCAACUUUGAUAUCUAAUUAAUCAUUACUUGGUAACAGAUAAUAGCUUAUUGGCCAUCCUAAACGCAUAAAACCAAAAAGAUAUGCGUAAUCAAGAAGCAGAUACACUUUUGUUGCUUCAAGUGUUCAUACAUUAAAAGAUAGAUUGGUUAUAGAGAAAUCACCUUGGAUAAUAGCUGCUGUUUUUCAACGACCCCUUAGCUGUAUUAUUCAGCGGGCGGAGCCGGAAAUCACUAACUACGCGGUGCUGUUUUCAUCUUGUUUUAGCCUUUUUUGUUCAAAAGAUGUGUAGCUCUCAAGAGAGUGUAUCAUGUUGGUGUUGCCCGCAAGUAAUUUCACACAGGAAGCUUGAAUGUUAGGACGGUGCUUAAAUUUCGGAAUAUUCAUUGACACCAAAAAAAAAGAAAAGAAAAGAAUGUUAACGUUUGGGAGCCAUUUUUUGCCCAACAGAAAUUGGACAAUGCCUAUAGAAUGGAAAUUGUUAUUAACGAGUGAGAGUAAGGGAUAUGUGGUGGUAUCAAGCUAAAAAGAUGGGAAGAUAUGACGAUUAUCUUGGAAAAGAAGUGGUCUAGCCCUAGCAUCUGGCAUGUACGAUCCUUGCAUACUUUCAAGAACCAAUUCACCCUUUUUGGUAAGUCUCAUUUUAUUGUUUUUGGCAAGUGCCUUUUCUUUUCUUUUUUUUUUUGCCGGAGACGGUAAACUUAAUCUAUCCUACACUAAGGGGAAGGGGACGGGCCUAAGGAGGUCCAGGGAUAAGUCGGAAGAAACUGAACCACUAACGAACCAGACGGGUGCACAGCACACCCGCUUGAAUUUUUUAGGAACAAGCCACAGAAAUGUGACAUUUUUUGUGGGAGCCAAGGUUCAAACCCUUACCUUCCACCCCACCAAGUAGGUGGUAGCCACUGCGCUAAAGGCCCAGCGGUUGGUAAGCGUCUUUUCGAUUGCGACUUGAUAUGCCAAAAGCCUUCAACUUUCCUCGUUUCUUUCCUGUUUGCAAUGAGAUGUGAAAGUUCCUCAAAAAAUGAACAAGAAAAGUUCUCAAAGUUAAAGAGUUAGCGUAUAGGCCCACAAAAAUAGGGGUGAUAAUUUUGGAUACGAAUUGAAAAUACAUCAUGAAUUUAAUGCGAAAUUAAUGAGUUUGGAUUGAGAUUUUACAGGUUGGAAUUAGAAUCGGAUCGACUUGAUAAAUUCAAAAAGAAAGUAAAUCGAAUUCAGGUCAUUCAUGGCUUGAUCCGAUAACCCAUUUAUGAAUUAAAAAAAAUUUAAUAAAUAUAAAAAUAUUUUAUCCAACUAAACUAAGUUAUUCUUUUUUUUUCCAAAGGCAUUAAUCACUUAAUCCUAAAUAAAUUUGUUUAACUUGUGUGAAGUUGAAAUUAUUAGGUUUGGACAAAUAAUGUAUUAUAUUAUUUUUUACUUUUAUAGUGUCUUAGUUUAUUUUAAAUCUGGUUUGGAAUAAAAUACUUUUUCAAUGUUUUAAUUUAUUUCAGAUCUGGUAUAGGAUUGUUUUAUCGAGAUUUUUAUUAUUUGAUUAUAUUGCCCUGUUUGAAAGGUGAGUUUUCUAGAAGUUUGUCUAAAACUUUAUUGUAACUUACUGUAGAAGUUUUUUUUAAAAAUUUUUGAAAUAAGUAGAUUUUUGAAUAUUUUGAAGUGUAUAGUUUAAAAACUUUAAAAAAUUUUUUGAGGUUACUGUAGCUAAAGCUUUUAAAAAACUUGUAACAAAUAAACUUGACAAAAAAUCUGGGUUCCAAACAAGGCCAUAUGUAAUUAGUCUUGGUGAAAUUGGUUUUAUUAGAAACUAUAGUAUUAAAUUAGUAAAUUAAAAUUAUGUUUCAAAUCAUAUCAGGUCAAUCUGAAAAUGUCAGAUUCAGGUCAAUCCAAAAUUGAUCCGCCAACCACAGUGCAAAACUACAAUUCGAAAUUGAUCCGUUGCGGAUUGAUGGGUCGUAUUCAAAUCAACAGAUUCCCUGUUAUACUUGAAUCUCAAUCCGAUCAGCCAAUCCGUUUUUAACCCGAUUGCCACCCCCGCGUAAAGAUAAAGAUGAUUGCUGGAGGGUUUGGGGUUUGGCAGCUAAAGCGGUCAAGGAAUUGCUCCAGAAACAACAGCUGUGAAGCACAAUACCUUAAAAUUCAGUGGACCUUCCACACCACGAGCAUUUGAUUCUAUGUCCAUCCAUGGCAGUAGUGGACAAUACUACGACUAUGCUACCAGCUUAGCUUGCUAGGUUGUUAAAGUAAAAAUGAAGAAGCAAAAUUAAAGAAAGACAAGAGCUAGCUUUCCUGGUAUGAACUCGCCAAACUAAAGAUAUGUUCGUGCUGUGGGGUGUGGGGCUCUCUUUAUAAAUUGUAAUCAAUCAUAUCAUCGACCUAAAGAGUCCCCCCCCCCCCCCCCCCACACUCUGGAUUAGACCAAAGAUGUUUCGUUCACUGAAUCCGUCGACUCCUAUCUGUCCUGGCUUCUUGAGCUCUAGUCGGUAAAGAAAGAAAAGAUUUACAGCUUAUUGUAACUGUGUGUCACGUCACGCCUGGUAAUGGAAAUUACGAGCUCUAAUAUUUAGAAGAAAUCGUGUUCGUAAUACCACCAAAAUAUAUGAGAAAUCGUUUUAGCCUCUGCCUAACUUCCUAGCAAGCCAAGCACAAGGUAAGUCAAGUUCCGCCAACCAUUUUGCAUGCAAAUAUGAUAGUACAACUAGCAUGUAAUUGGUGCCAAGAGUUUUUAGGCUUAUCCGGAAGACUUGACAUUGGGUUGGACUUGAGCUCUCAUCAGGCAAAGUCGGCACUGCAUACCCAUAGCAUUAUUUUUUGGACAUUUGCUAUUAUUCGAUAAUUGACAUAACAACCACUUUGAUAUAUUUGUUUAGCCAGUGCCUAAAUCUGUACGUAUCAAUGAAUGAAACGUUGUUGACGUAUACCUAAAACUACAUCAGGUAGCCUUGCUAAAUGAUUAGGUACAUUAUAGGAGAUGAUGCCAGCUGCCUCUGCAUGCAUAUCCUGAUAUCGAUCCAUCCAUUACUCAGUACGAUGAAUUUGUGUUCCCAAAGUCUUGUGAUUCACCGAUAAAUCAUCACUCCCUCCGUGUAUGGUAAUUGUGCUAGUCUAUAUAGUAGUAGUAUUUACCUUCUUAUCAGCCCCCCGAAAAAAAGAAGAAAGAAAUAGUAUAUACCUUGUUCAUGAGAUUCUCUGUCCUCAUAUAAGCCUGCCAAGUACCACCUCCUCAUGGCCGGCCUCUCUCCACUAUAAAUUGCGUACUUCUGCCCUCCCCACACCUUCAUCACCCAGAAGCAAGACUCCUACUGCCUCAGCUCCUAGCUCUUCAGUUUCCUAUCUUAUCAUCUCAUAUUCUCGUUUCUUCCAGAGAGUAUUAAUCUAUCCAUGGCUUUUGCAAAAUUAAUCAUCCCGUUCAUACUCGUUUCUUUGCUGGUUCUCCACCAAGUCCAAGCGGUUCAAACCAAUCAUCAACUGGUAACGUUUUCUUUAAAUUCACACCAAUUUUCUUCACUGACUAUCUAAUGAGCAAUAGCGUACCAUCAAAUUAGUUAGAGGAAUAUAUAGUUUUUCAUUUUCCUGCCAUGCACCUCUUCCUAUAUCGUUUGAGAUUUUAGUUGGCUUCUCUUAUAAAUCAUGAAGUAAUUUGACUUAACCCUUGUACUGCCUUUGUGGUGCAGGCCAGCAAUGCUGUUUCAAACACAGGUUAUGGCCCAAAAAUGGGUAUGCGUUCAAUAACUUGAGUUGUAGUAAUUAGUUAUUUUAUCAUUGACAUCCUACUAGUUACUAUUACUUUUAUCAGCCGGAAGAUAGUAGUAUAAAUAACCUAAGAGUUUAGGUUAGUGGUCGAAGAAUUAAUGGAAGUUUAAUUUCUGGCAGAUUGUGGGGCAGCUUGUGCAGGGAGAUGCCAGUUAUCAUCGAGACCAAGGCUUUGCAAGAGGGCAUGUGGAACCUGCUGUGUCAGGUGCAACUGCGUUCCUCCGGGGACUUCAGGCAACUAUGAAGCUUGUCCUUGCUAUGCCAGCCUUACCACCCAUGGCAACAGGCGCAAAUGCCCUUAAACGAACCACCGCCAAUUACUCAUCUCUUCUCCAUCACUCCCAUCUCCAUGCAUGGAUAGAUUGAUAGCUUAUCGGUUUGCAGCAUAUGUCUUUGUUCGUGAAGUAUCAAUUUGGUUGCUGCAAAUAAGAUGUGAGAGAGUAGGUGUUGAAAUCCCUGGUGCAAUUAAUACCCUUUGCAUGAGCGAUAUGUUGUAUACUACUGUAUAUGUUGUACGAGUGAUGUGUCUUAUGAGUUAAUUUAGUUAGAUGUGUACGAGAUAUUAAGUUCUGCCUUGGAUGCAUACGAGAAAUAAAAAGAAGUUGUGGCUGGCUGUUUCUUGUUUGUUGUUUUGUGCUGGUUGUAUAUUGUUUUUUGUUUUUAACAUAUUUUGUAUACGCUAGCUAAUAGUAUAUAUAUUAUCACUGUUAAAUUUAUGACACAUGAAUAAAAAAUUAAAUUUUAAAUUUAAAUUAUAUAUAAUCAUUAUUAUUUAUUCAAAACCGACGAUGCAUAGACGGUGUGUAAAUGUAUAAGAUACAGUAACAUAGUGAAAUCAUGGAUUUGUAAAUGCAUGAGGUGGUCAACAAAGAAUUAUCAAUCCAUUUAAUGGUUCAUCCAUCAAGAAAUUAGUGCAUCAACCAUAAAGCAGGUAGUUAAAUUUUACCGUGUGAAUAUUUUAUUCUCCUCCCUUUCAUAUUUUUUAAUGAAUGAAAAAUUUGCCAUAUUAGUAACUUAUAAUGGUUCUACGAAAGAAUGGUAAUAAUAGUUGUAACUAUUGAGUAAAUAGAUGUAUGAGUAAAUAGAUGUAUAGGGAUGGCAAUGGGACCUGCCCCGCGGGGGGCUGGGGGAAUUUUUUUUCCCUCGCUUAGAAAUGGGGCGGGGGGCGGGGGAGUGUACCCCUGUCCCGCCACCCGCUUUAAAAAAUAAAUAUAUAAAAUAUAUAUGUAUAUAAUUAUAUAUAAUAUAUAAUUUAAUUAGUUACAAACUUAUGAUAAUGAUAUUAUUAGUUAUAUGUAUUAUAUAAUGUCUAUUAGUAUAUAUAAUAUAAUUGAUAUUAUUAAUUAUACUAAUAAUUAUAUAUGUGUACUAAUCCAAAUUAUUAAUUGGUUAUACUAAAUUUACUAAUAUAUUUAUACUAAAUCUCUAAUUACACUUAAUACAAUAAUAUUUUUUUUAAAAAAGUACAAGCACAAUAAUGAAUUAGUGAUUGUAUUUGUGCCUAAAGUGAAAACUUGACUACUUUAGUUAUAUUUAUUUCGUCAUGUUGGAUUGUAUUCAAAUAAUUUUUAUUUGAUUGUUUUAAUAAGUUUCAAUUGUAAAAUUACAAUGAAUAAUAAUUUGAUGAUGUGUUGAUAUUUUAGUAGUUGAUUAUUUGCUAAAAUUUAACCAUAAUAAAAUUAUAUAACAAAUUUUUAUCAACCCUACGAGGGCACCCGCGGGGGAAGCGGGGGACGGGGAUGGUGUGGGGGCGGGGGGAGUUUGUAGGCAGCGGGGCGGGGGAUGGGGGAGGGGUUCCCUACCCCAACCCCGUCCCGUUGCCAUCCCUAUAGAUGUACAUGGACACUAGUUAGGAAUGGUUCAAAGCAGCACUUUUUUUUUUUUUGGAAUAAUACCAAAUUUCUAAUUUUGGCUAAUUAAAACACAAUGGACAGUAGUUAGGAAACUCUUAUGUUAGCCAAAAUGAAAUGUGUUUCUCCAACUCUAGUGCUAUAUUUCAACACUACGAGCUAAUGUUAUAAAAGUUCAAGUUCUAGGUUCUGUAAACUAAAAUUUCUUUUUGACUAAAAAAAAAUAAAAAUGAAACAUGGAUGGUGUAAAUUGAUUAAAUAUAAUGUUCAAAUUAUUCGCCUAGAUUGUAAACAUAUACACAUCACAAAGUUCUAAUAAUCAUCCAUCAAUUUAACAUUCUAAGAAUAUUUUUGGGAUUAAAAAUGUAAUUGCACAUGACAAAAAGUAUUUUGUUACAUUGUAGUAAAAUAUGGGUUCUUAUAUUCCUUUAAUUUGAUAUGGGUUCUUAUAUUCCUACACGUGAUAGACUGUAGUGUUUGUCUCUUUAAUCUCUUUUUUUCUUCAUUUUUCUUUAAUUUGUUUUGGAGUAGUUUGGACUACUACUGUUAGCUGCAUUCAAUUUUAAUAACUCUUUGGUGUGAUCUUUUACAAAUACAGAAUACCCAAAGUAUACAAUUGAAACAAAAUUUUGGUUUACUUGAAAACCUAAAAAAAUUAUGUCGUCAGAAGUUGAAUAUAAUUCAGCUUCUCAAGCAUAUCUUGCUGCAAUUUAAGUGGUAAUAACAUUCGUUCAUCCUGAUAGAAAGGAAACGUUGCAUAUUCAAUGCUUUAUUAUGAGGCAAAAAAAAAAAAAAAAAAAAACUUGAAAUCGUCUUCUUCAGACAAGAAUUUCACUUGCAUGUAACUGCUCUGCCUAAAAGGGUUACUAUGGAAGUCCAGUGACUAGGUUUCAGACUGCGAGAGUUCUUGUAAGAAUGCCUUCGACAGUAAUUCCAGGGCCAAAUGCCAAUAUUAGUCCCCACUCCUCGUUCCCUUUCUGAUCCUCCUUUCUUGCAAUUUUAUUCUCUUCCAACAUGUAUUCCAGCACAUAAACAAUUGUAUUACUGCUAGCAUUUCCAAAAUCUGCUAAAGCCCUUCUACUGGCAUUCAAUUUCUCCGGCAGCAAAUCCAGCUUCUUCUCCAUUCUGUUCAGAAUAGCAGGGCCACCAGGAUGGACAGCCCAAAACAUCUUGUUAUAGUCCUUCUCUGAGUAUCCAGCAACAUCCAUCAAUCUAGCGCAAAAUCCUUCGAUAUUGUCCUCAAUUAUUUGAGGAAGUUCCCUGCCUAACUUAAAGCUGAUACCCUCUUCUGUAAGCCUUCCGUCAAUGAUUUUCUCCGUGUCAGGCAAGAAAUGCUGCAUUGAGGUAUGCAACUCGAACAGAGGCCUCUCUAUGGAUGGUUCAGGACUUGAGCCGACUAUCAUAGCUCCAGCACCAUCGCCAAAGAGUGCAACGCCGACUAAAUCGUAGGGUCUUUCAGCACUAGGUGGUCUGAAUCCAAUAAUGGUAGUCUCAGAAGUAGCCAGCAAUACUCUGCUCCCUGGAUUGUUCUCAGCAAUGUCCUUGGCUACCCGAAUGCCAGCCACCCCUCCAGAACAGCCAGAAAAGUUGAGCAUAACUCUCUGAGUUUCAGGUCGAAGCCCGAGUCCUUUUGCUAGGUAUAGAUCACCGCCAGGCAGUCUAACUUCACUGGAAGAAACGUAUACUAAAUGCGUGAUAUCCGAAAUAGGCCUUCCCCAAUUCUUGAUGCAUGAUUGCGCAGCUUCGAUGGCCAUCUCUGUUACAGCUGGAUUGCAGAUGUCCAGCCGUUGCUUCACGGUAGGAAGGCCUUCAACCACGAGCUCAGGGUACUGAUUUAGGAUCUCUUCCGACAUUACCACAUAUCUUGUUUUCACCGUGGUCGUUUUGCCUGUAUUGUGCCAUGAGAACAACCUUGUUAGAUCCCUUCAGUUUUUUGUACGUCAAAAUGUACGUAAAAUAAAGAACAGUAAACAGGGUUAAUUAGAGCGAGAUUACAGAGUCGAGUCAGCUUCUGCUUGAGGUCCGGGUCAUCACAGUUGGUGUUUCUGAAAUAUCCAUCCACUAGGAACUCUUGCAUGACAAGCUGGGGAGGGAAGGCCUUGCCCAGAGCAAGAAUAGUAGCUUUUCCAGGAGUUACGAUCGUUGACCCAUGUACGGCAUCUUCGAUCCCCAUCCUGUCUUUCUUCUGGAAUAUGUCUUUACAAAUUUCUUGUGACAAUACUUGGAAAUUUCUUGUGACAAUACAAAGGGCUACAUCUAUUUAUACUUGCCUUUACUGGCUCCUCUUGAAUUUUUUUAAGGAAUUUCAGUUUUAUCACCUAAAAGGUUGACAGGUAAGGUCCCAUAUUUUUAAAUUGCAGACUGUAAGGGAUUAGAUCAGGAGCAAGUGUUUCAUGAUUCAUCCCAAAAUGCACCGGUAUGGUUCUGGUUGAACAUAUUUCAGAGAAAGGAGCUCUAUCUCCAUGGCAUUUGAAACAACCUUUUAGUGACAAUGGUUAUAGUUUUGUAACAUCCAUUGAUUGUAAAAAAUGUCAAGCAAGUAAUGAGAUGUUAAGCUUAUUAUUAACCAAACUAGCUUAUCUGAUGAACGUGUAGCGGCUUCUGUAUCCCUUAUUAUAUACAAGAAGAAGAAAAACGGGAAAAGGAAAAACUGCGCAUGCUUUAACCAGGAGAACAUGGGAGUUGGCAAAGCAAGCUCCAAUUUCAAUAAUCCAGCAAAGUAUCAAAGAUUAUUAAUUCGCAAUUGACAGGCUAUAGUAACAGAAGCAAAUAAACUAUAUCAUGAUUGACGUACUAACGGUUCCAAGACAUUUUCAAGGGAACAGAGAAAGACAACAUUUCAUUGUUCCACUUGCAAAUCACACGGAUUUAUAACAAGACAUUGAGAAUGAUCUCCUGGAUUUCGUUUAAUGCGCCAUGAACAGGAAAAUUCGGGAUCGUUCAAACUUCAAAGUUCUGAAAGGCGCUUCCCAUUAAUGUAAUCAACAAUUUGCGUGACUGCUAGAUCAAGUGCUGCAGUAACUGCCGCCAGAUUUUGCAAGAACUCUUCAGCUGUUGGUUUGUCGCCAUCAGUAAUAUCUGUCACUGCUUUGAUAAAUAUUGCAGGUACUUUCAGAAGAUCUGCCACAUAGGCAAUAGCUGCACCCUGAAAGGCAUAAAAGUGUACACUGUGAUAAAAAUAAACCUGAAUAAGAGCAUCAUUUUGCAGAACCAAGUCUACGAGUAAUUUUCAGGAGUCAUCAACUCUGCAGAAGACAUCGCAGCUUAAGAUGGUUCACAAAGAUCCAAGCUCAGAUCCUUUAGUUCAAUCACAUUACGUCUUGUAGAUAUUGGAUCUUCAAAGCACAUUUCCAUCAAAGUUCAGAUUAAAAUUAAAGAGUAAAUUUUGAAAUGUCGCAAGCAAUAGUAAUUACACCUAAAACUAAUAAACACAGUAGUCGAUCGAUUAGAACUACCAAGAUACUCAAAACACGAAAAAAUGAAUAAAAACAUAGAACACAUAUGUAUGAAUGGAUACCUUUUGAAAAGAAAAAAUAUUCAACAAAAUCUUAAUGAGCUGACAAUCAUGAGAAACUAUAUUAGCUUACUAAACUCUGCACAAGGGAGGGCCCAAAAACAAAGACCUAGUUGGUUAGAUCUGGUUGAAUGUACCAAAGUAUGAUUUUGUAAUGACUACCUCCAUGUCUUUGAUUGUUGCAUCAUUUGCACUGAUAGAUGCUUCAUCCUGAGGGGACAUGUCCAGUGAAUCACCAGUCGACAAUUUGCCAACCUGAAAGAUUACCAGCACCUUUCUAUAUUGUGUAUGGGGGGGAGAAGAUUGCAUAAUACAAGUAUUGCAACAAUUGGAGAAUCUACUAUCUCUGUCUUCCAUAUAACAUGCUUAUUAAGGAAAUCUAAGUAGAAAGUUAUGCUAUAGUUAUGGACCAAUUAACAAGCCACAAUCAAGUCAGUUGCAACUAAGAGGGGAAAAGUUGUCCUUCAGCAUUAUAUCCAUAAUACAUUUUAAGUUGGUAUUUUGAAUGAUUUAUGUAAUUAUCUUAUUUCAGGUACCAAAUAACGUUUUCAUUCAUUUUAUGAAAAUUAGGGAUAUAAUCAAUUUCAGCCAGAGCUUUUAUAACUGGAAAAAGAACUCGCUGAAGACAAAGACAUACCAGAGCUACCUGAGCCACUCCUGUACUUAUUUAUCACUCAGAUGGGCAAAGAGGAAGGGCAGGGGAACCGAAUUUGGGUCCACCAAAAAAAAAAGAAAGAAAAAAAGAAGAAGCAAUUUUGUCGCCCAAAAUUUUUUUGCGAGUAUAUCUUCAAUAGAUGUUCAAUAUUCUUUACCCAAUAACUCUUUAUGAAAAGAAAUAAACACGUUAAUAUAAAAGAGAGCAAAAGCAAACAAAAUAGAGGCAUCAAAUAAUACAGUGGGUAGAUUGCAAAAAAGAAAUUACUUUCAAAUUGAGCUCCUUCAAAAGAUUAGGAGUCUGAAAUGCCUGUCUCAAACCAACUCCAUAAAGAUCAAAUACCUGCAAACCAGAAGGCAAUCAGGUGAAGACUUAAGUCAGUCCAGCUUCUAGCUUUUUACAUGUAAUAAGAAUCCAGCGGUUAAAGAAUGUCUCUCAAUGCCAUAGAAAUGAGAAUGUCAAGCAAAAAUUUGCCUUCCCGACAGCCAUGUCCAGAUCAUACAAGUGAUGCAUUCCAGACUGCAUGUCUACAAACCAUCAAGAAGUUAAGCAUAUUGAAAGGCAUGACAUGCAACUGUGCCUGGAAUAUCAUGAAAUCUAGUCAAUGAGCCAAUGCAUGUCUAUGAACCUCCGUUCUCGUGAAAAACCUCUGUGGUGUAUUUGCUUCAUGGGCUUCUCAUUGAAAGGAAUAGGCAUCUCAUUUCCAUUCUCAACUUUCCCACGUUUCAUAAAAUAAAACACAAAACAAUAUCUAAGGCAUGUGGUACAUGAAGUCAUCUGGUUCAUGUGGUACACAAAACAAACUGGAUUGGGCAAUCUUUCACUUCUUCAGCAAUUUCAGGCCCAGAAACCCCUCCUUUUUUAACUAUCCAAUCAAAGGAUGGCUAUUCCUUCAUUAACAUUGUCAAAGGCCCCGAAACCUGGCAAUUUCAGAAUUUCUUUUGUCCGGUCAAAGGAUGUCUAUUCCUUCAUUAACAUUGUCAAACAAAGUUGGCCUGCAGUCUUUAACCAUAAAUAACUAUCUUAGAGCUUGACUGAUUUCACUGCAAGAUGCACAAUAUACUACACUGUCACAUUGUCCAUAAGCUAACAAGCUGAUACAUGAUAUACAAGCAGAUUGUAUAAAAAAGGGGAGAUACGAAGAGGAUUAGAUGAUGUUUUCUAAAUCCAGUUUAUAGUACUCCCACCUUCAUAAGAUUGGUAUAAAAAAUGUAAACCCCAUGGAACUUACAGGAAUAGGUAUUCUUCGAUCAUGGAAAGCAACGUCUGAUGCAACAAACACAUCACCUAUGGAAGCACCUUUAGCCUAAAAAGAUAGAGAGAUUAAUAGGAUAUUAAGUAUUAAAAAAAAGAUCUAGAAUAAUCUCCAAAAGAUGCCCUUUAAUAGAAGAACUCAGAAUAAAUGCCAUGGUGUAAGGAAAAUGCGAGUUCCUCAGAAAAGAAUCUUACUUGAAUUUAGAGGCAAAUAUAUAUUACCAAAACAACACAAAAUGAAAGAGAAAAUAGAAGAAACACAAAGCACUGGAGAAAAGAAGAGACAAAUAUAAAUGUAAUGUAUUUGACUGAACAGGAAGAUAAACCUAAUUGACCACCUAACAAAGCAUAUAGCUAUAAUGCGGUAACGCAAAACACCCAUGAGUAUUGCAUUCUACCAGAAGAAUGAAACCACCUACAAUGUGAUCUCAGAACCGAACAUGAUAAGAUAACGAGAACAUGUUACUAGAACAAGAAACAUACCUUAAACCCACCUGCAGUGCCCGCAUUUAUGAUGAGGUCAGGUUGCAGAGCUAGAAUAGAACCAUAUGUGACCAGAGAUGCAGAAAUUGUGCCCACACUGUCGACCCCUAUCGAAGAUACAGUUGAUAGACGGUAAUUAAUAGUUGAUGUAUCAAUGACCAGAUGCACUGCUCACUUAGAGCAGCAAAUUCAUCCUACAACAAAUACUACAGGGUGAAUUUUUGGUGAUUUAGAUUUCAAUUGUUUCAUUCAUUUGAACAUUGACACUACCCAUGCACUGCAUCAUAAACACAAACGAGCUGGUCUGCUGUUUCGAUAACUGCAUCUCAAGUUAACUAAACUCUAAUAUUCCUCACUACUAGCUCAACCUAAAAUUGUAGAACUGUCCAAUACAUCACAUAUGUCAUAAUUGAGUUGAUUCAUUGCUUUGUGUGUAUCUAACGUGUUCUUGUAUGCAUAGUCUAGGAAAGGAGAAGCGUGUAUCUACUCUUGAAAGGCCAUCAUAUUUAGCAUAACUGGGACUAGGACAACACAAAUGAAUGACCUCUCUAGCAAAUGUGUAAAACACAAACAAUUUAUUGAUUUUAUAUGACAUUGUUAAUGUAUUGUCUCCAAAAGAAGUUCUGGCUCGGACACUACUCACUAAUUAGCACAACUCGAGAUGGCAGAGAACAGCACCUCAUUUACCUAACUAGAAGUAUGAAUCUGACAUAUCUUCAAGAACGAAAUCAAAGCAAAGCAUAUCUCAGGUGAAAUUUAAUCAAGGAGGAUAUACUUCUAGAACAUGGUCGUUUUACAACUCAAACAAUAAGACUUGGAAGCAUUCCAGCAAGGACAACUUAUAUUGACCACCUCCCUCAACCCUUCUCAUUUUAUUGUCCUACUUCUAGUAAUAUAGAACUUCAUUCCACAAAUAUAUUGCUUUCUGAUUCCAAAAAUAGACAAAGAGAAACAGAAAACAGACAAAUAGUUGCUUCCAAAAAUUAGAAUAAGCUACGUCAAAUGACCGGGUAUAAAAUCAACUCCGUAGACACAAACAACUACUGGCACUACACAGGGAGAAAUUAUAACCCACCCAAAGCUGUAUCUUUUCCAGGACAGACAAUAUUAAUCUUCAGAUCUUUAUAGUUGCCUUGGUAACGCAACCAAGGGACCCCUUUUGGGAACCUGCAUAAUCCACACAGAGAAGUUAAUUUUGAGGGAAAUUAAGAACUGUGGUUACCACUGAGGAAAAAUACAAACUUGGUCAUCCCGGCUCCAACAAAUUAAGCAUCAUAGCAUCAAAGAUGAACAGAGCUUGAAUGGAUGAUAUAACAGCAAGAAGAUGAUUUCUAAUGCAUUCCAAUGAUAAGCAUUCGCACACAACACCCAUAAAGCUCAAAUUAAGGCUGUUUCCUGAAACACUUAAGCUCUGACUCUGGAGAUUUCAAAGUUUGAAUUCUUAAAAUAUUGAAUCUUUUUCCUAACAAUGGCUUAAAGAAAUGGGCAAAACCCUGAGAUAAUUCACACUACCAAUCGGUUAGUUGUUAUACCCGGUGCAUCAGAUAAUCCAUACUUUUGGACAUGAGUUAUUCAUCCAAGAUAAGAUUUUUAUGAUGAGACAGCAAAAGUAACAUCUUGUUGCUCCUCUAUAAAGCAUGCAUCAAACUCGGCAAAAAAAAAUUUUUUUGACAACAAAAGGACAAAAUAAGUAGAGUAAAUAUUCACAAUAACAUACUUCCAAAAAGUAAGAUGGGAAAGAUGAAGUACCCGGAAUCAGCGUCCUCGGUGAGCUGGAACUUAUUCACCAACGGCAGCGCCUCUGUCUGCAUAGCUGCCCAUUCCCCCGCAAAUUCAACCAAUUAAAAAAAAGGGUGGAUCAACUAUUAGUUCAGUUGCACUUUAAUUCUCUCCUCUUUUUUUUAUAAAAAAAAAUUUUUAGAUUUUUUUUGAGGAAAACUGUAAAAGCAAAAAGUCACAUACCGAUGAUGAGCAGGAGACUGGAGAUAGGGCGGGUCGCUGUUUGGGAAGCCAUGGACUCCUCUUUGACUCCUUGUGAUCCAUCAUCAUGAGGAGUAGGAGCCAUGGCUGAUUUUCUCGUUUUCUUGACUAUUCUUUAUUUAGUUAAUAGUUUAUUGUCUGCAAUCAUACAUAGAAGCACUCGGAGAAAGCCACGGGGUUGAAGAGAUUUUCAGGAUGCAUAGGAGAGGCAGACCGAAGGGGACGGGCAUUGGAGUCAUUUGACCACGCUUUCAUGAAUGCAAAUCUUUCCUACCAUUUAUUAUUUAAAAUAAUUAUAAAGGGAAAGACGCUCGCCAGAGGGUUUGAGAAUCACACGAAAGGAAUGAACCCCUUAUUUAUUGCUUGAGUUAAGUCUAUUGAAAUGUAAAUUUUAGGAAUCAUUUCUAAAAAAUUAGACUUAUCCCAUUCCCGAGCAAAUUGGAAGGUUUUGGACAAAAUUCUCAACUUAUUCUCUCAGACAACAUUUAUGACGGAUCUAUCCUCUCUUUCUCUCUAUCACACGCCGCACCUUCUGUUCUUCUUUUUAGUUAGAUUUCAUAUCUCUUCUUUUUCAUCAUAUAGUCUUCAUUUCUUAUCUAAAAUUUUUUGAAAAAAAAAAUCUAAAGUAGAUCUAAAUAGGAUAGGAAUGUGCAAAUAUUUUCAGCGAUAAAGAGUAGUAGAUUUCAAAUUAAGGAUAGGAAUUCGGUAAGAAACAAGGACCGAUUGGACAGCGACAAAGAGCAGUGCGUUUCGACUUCCCCUGGACGGCGAAUUCUGGAGUUGAAGAGUCUGAACAAGGAUCAACUGCAUUGAAAAUCUCUUCUUGUCUCUGAUGUUGCCGCUUUCAUAGGGGAAGCUCGAUGACUUUAAACUCAUCAAAUAAUCCGUACAGAUAAUGUCUUGAAAUGCCCAUGAAGGGAACAGAAACCUUGUCUCCACCGAGAAAGGAGAAGUUCUGAUUUCGAGUUCUUGUAAUAUUAAAUUUGUUUAAAUAUGAAAAAUUGGUUAAAUAGUGCAUUAAAUACAAAAUUUGUCAAUUUCCCAUAAAGAGUUGAUAUGUUAUGGACAAUUUCUUUUUUUUUUUUUUUACUUUCACAUAUUUAAUUUAUAUUAAAUAAAAAAUAUACUAGUUUUUCUUUGAGCGCUAUUUAAUCAAUUUUUCCUAUAAAGCGUUGAUAUGUUUUCCAUAAAGAUGUGGUAUAAAACAUACUACAAAACCUGUUAGUUUCCCAUAAAAAACUGAUAUGUUAUACGCUAUUUAACCAAUUUAUCAUAUUUAAACAAAUUUAUGAAAAUUAAAAGCGUUUUUAUUUGGAAGAACGCAUUCCUUGGAUGCGUUUUUUACCCUUUGUGAAGACACUAAAAAAUCGCUACCCUUUGGGAAGCUAGUUUAAAAACUCUCUCUUUUUUGGAAAUUUACACCUUGUUAAUGCAGCUACUAUAUUUAUUUUCUGGUAUUAAUUUUUUUUAUGGUUUAUGAUUUUCUUAUGUUUUAUCAAAAAAUUAAUAACUAUUAUAGUUACAAUUAUGGAGAUGUUAAUUUGUCAUAUGUGUAAUUCUUUUAUUUUAUAAGAAUUGUUAUAUCAGCAGUAAUUUUGGAAUUUAAUUGCAUUUAAUUUCGAAACACUCAUCAAACCAAGCAUCAGGAAUUGGAAUGAUGUUAAUUUCAAUAUGUGAACCAAUGGCCUAUUUAGAACCUGAGUUUUUUGGGAGUUUAUCUAAAACUUUACUGUAGUGCACUAUAAAAGUUUUUAAAAAAAUUUUGUAAAAAUUUUUGUAAGGUGAAAAACUUUUUUAUAAGGUGAAAUUUUUUUUCCUUUUCUUGUUUUCUUUCUUUUUCUUUUUCUCUCUUUCCUUUUUCUUUUUUUGUCUCUCUUCUUGUUCUUCCUUCUCCCUCCCCCGCUUCCUCUGCCUUCCCAAUUCCCAGUAGCCAUGACCCUACCAUUUUUUUUCUUUUCUUUCUUUUUCUCUUUCUUUUUCUUUCUUUCCUUUUUCUUUUCUUUCCUCUCUUCUUCUUCCUUCCUUUCCCCUCCCUCUUCCCUCGCGAUACCAGACAAACCAGCAGCCCCUCUCCCUAAAUUUUUUUUUCUUUUUCUCUUUCCCUCUUCUCCCUCUCUGCUACCCUCUCCCUCUCUACUCCCUUUUACCAUCUCCCUCUGCCUCCCGAAGCAGAGAACUAGCAACCAUGGCACCUAUAAUUAUUUUUUUUUUUUGCUUUUUCUCUUCCCCUCUUUUCUAUUUCCCUCUUCCAUUCUCCUCCCCUUUUGCCCAAUCCGGUCGUUCGAUCAGAUCGCAGCUAAGGAAGCGGGAGGGUGGCCAGGAAGGGGAGGGGGAGGGGGAAGGGAGAAGGAAAAAAAAAAGGGGUAGGCCGGCGCCGGAAUAGGUGGUCAACGCCAGAAACAACAGCGGAGGUGGUGGUGGUGGCAGGUGGCGGAAGGGUGGCCGGCGAUGAAGAUGUGAUAGAUAGGAGUAAAGGAGAAAGAAGAAGAAAAGAGGAAGUUGUUGUGUAUUAGAUAUUUUGAAGUGUGUAGGUUAAAAAAUUUGAUAAAUUUUUUUGAAUCCCUGUAGCUAAAGUUGUUAAAAAACUAGUAGCUAAAAAACUCGGCAAAAAAACUCAAUUCCAAACAGGUCCAUUGGAAUGAAAAGUAUAAUUCCAAAACUAGAGUCGAUGAUUCCAUUUCCAUUUCCGAUUCCAAUCUGUGAAACAAGCAGCCCCCAAAUUUUAAAAAAAAAAUAAUAAAGUAAUUUUUUGGAUUGGAAGAUUUGCGAAAAAAAUUUCAAAAAUUUUUUCUACUUAUAUCAUAAAUACAAUUUCCAACCACUUUUUUAUUUUACAUACAUUAUUACAUCACAAAAAGUACUAUAAUAAUUAUUUCAAAUAACCUCCUAUCCAAACAAACUCGUUUUGAUCAAACAAAAUAAAAAGAAGUGCAAUUUGUGAGUUUUAUUAACCUAUCACGAUAUUUUUUUUUUGGAUGAAUUGGCAACAUCUAAACACUAUUCCUACUCUAAUGUCUAAUUGGGCCACGAGUAGGGUUGCAAACGAAUCGAGCCGCUCGCGAGCUGCUCGAGUCGAGUUCGAGCUAGUUUGAGUCGAAAUCGAGCUCGAACUCGAGUUCAAAAUAUUAAGCUCGCGGCUUGCGAGCUCGAGUAUAUACAUAUAUUUUUUAUUUUUUUUAUUUUAAGUAUAUAUAUUUUUUAUUUUUUAUUUUAAGUAUAUAUAUUUUUUAAUUUUAAUAGUAAAAUUACAUAUAUAUCCUUAAUAUUUUAUUAUUUAAUAAGAAAAAAAUAUUAUUUAUUUAUUUUUUAAAAAUAAAAUAAUUAUUUUUUAUUUUUUUUCGAACUCGAGCUCGACUCGAAUCAAGUCGAGCUCGAGUUCGAACUUGAAAUUGUCAGCUCGUCGAGUUCGAACAUGAGAGUUCGAUGAAAUUAAAUCAAAAAUCGAUUCGAUUAGGUCAAAGUUCGACUCGACUCGACUCGUUUACUUACGGCUCUAGCCACGAGUAGUUAAAACUUAAAAGAAAAAAAUAUCUACUUUAGACCAAAGGAAUAUAUUACCAUAUGUCCUUUAGAUUAAAUCCUUGUGAAGUACAUAAAAUUUUUAAGUUACCCCACUUCAAUAUUAAUUACUGAUUUUCACAACACUGUGUGAAAGUGAGUCAUUUAAAUGCAAAUCUUUUGAAUUUGGCUCCUCAAACAUGACGUUCAUCCAAAUCUUGGCCACUUAUAAUCUUCGCUUUUGUGCUUAAGAAGUCGAAUGGCAACGAAAUAAAUGAACUGGGAACCAUUCUGGAGUUUCCCGUGGCUCUCAAAACGAUACAGAUUUUUGUUCCUUUGGCACGUUAAAGUAAUCCAACAUCUUAAAGGUUCCUCGGGUUUCUGUAUAGGACAACAUCCUUCGUUGCUUUGGCAUGUGCUAAGGGUUAUUUUGAGCUCGUCAAUCGUCAUAAGCUCAAGUGAUGGCAGCAUCACAAAUUUCUUCUGCUUUUGAUUUCUCCUCUUCUGCUUCUGCUUCUGCUUCUGCUGCGUUUUCUCUCCUUUUCUUUACAGGGUAGGAGUAAUAGGAGGGAGGGGGGGGGGGGGCAGGAGCUUGACUAAUUUGGAUAGACUAAUAGGCGGCCUUUACAAAGGAAUUGCACGUAUGCAUACCAUUUACAUGCAAGAAUGUACAAUAUGCUGUACCAGAAAUGGGUUAUUCAACAGUAGCAAACCAAAGAAUUUGAGCACUGACUUUCAGAAAUUAAAGGUAGUCAGUGCACAAAUUACAAGAUCAGGCCAACUUGACUCAAGCGUAACUCACAAUGAACAUGAUUAGCAAAGAAGGUUUCAGUAAAACUGAUCAAAACCGAAAACCAGAUAUUUUGUAAGUUAAAUAUACCACAAUUGGGAGCAGACUCCAAUGAGGAGGAUCUAUCCUGGAGCCCCCAUUUGGCAGCAUUGGGAAAGUGUCAGGAAGAGGCAUCUCACAGUUCUCACCAUUGAAAUAGAUUCUUCUAGGAAAAGCCCAUCCAUUUCGAAGAGUAAAUGAAUCCAUAUCCUUGCGCAAAAGAAUCUCUGUAGUAACUGAACCCACUUGCACUUUAUCUGCUUGUAGCAGUUCGUCAUUGUAGUAUUCAAUACCCCAGAAGAGAGCAACCUCAUCUGCAAAACUUCCAUAAAUGAGAACUAGAAACAGACUCAUGCCCGCUAGGAUAAAACCCAAAAGGAGGAGGAAUUUCUUCAAUGAUUUUAUAGGAAGUAAUAACUCGGUCCCUUUCCAAGAUAUGAUAGAUGUUCUUGCAGUACUUGCAAGUACCUGGAACACCAAUAGUAGGAAGAACUAUGCUAUUGAAGCUGUAACUGGUGCUGUUUUGGCUAAAACCUGGAUGCUGAACCAACACAUUCCAGUUUGAGUAAUUUCUCCCCAGAUUGUAAUUGGAGAUUGUCAGUUUGACCCUCCAGUGAUCCAGGAAGUUGUUCUUAAUAUGCCAGUGAACCCGAAGAGGACACAUAUGGUCAGUGCAUUGGAGUAUAUCGGUAUCGCUCACCAAAUCUGAGGGAGACAUGCCUUGACUAUUGUGCAUAAAGCAAAUACAAGAACAAAAGUAAAGAACUUCCAAGUUAAUUCUGACAAUGAACCAAUGAUAGGAGAAAGCAAUGAACUCAUUUAGUUGCAGCCUUUUCAGUACUUCUAUUGGCAGCAUACCUUGUGCACAGUGUUCUACUCUGAUCAGAUUCCCUGCAUCCGCAGCUGCAGUUCGGACAUGCAGUAAUGGCAGCAUUGUAAAAUGUUGACAGUGAAACACAACAGACUGGCGUCUUGUUAGCCAAAUAACUCGAGAAUGUGCAUGUUGAUUUCCAUGUCCCUGCCAAUAUCAAAUUUUAGUUUAAGAAUGCACCUAAACGAAGUGGCAAAACAUUGAGGGCCUACUGUUGUGUGUUUAACCGAUAAGAAACCGAUGAAUGAAGAAAGUCUUAACUCAGGUACAUCGUUCUCUGAAAUCCUUUAUGCUCUAUAUCACUCAAUAUAGCAAGUCAGCAUAACUGUGACAUGCAUGUUUUAGCACAGUUCGACUUGCUUAGUGCUAAUCCAACAUUGUAUUAUAUUUAUCAACCUGAUACAAGUAAUGGCUUAAAUGCGAAUUCUCAUUUGUCAGUUGCAUUUAAACAGUCCUCUGCAGUUACAUACUUACAUAGAUGUUGAAAGAAGUGAUAAAAACAGGUGAACCAUCCACUUUUGAGGAUUUUUUCUUGUGAUGCUAUUGACUGUUAAAAUUUUGGAAGUGACAUUAAGUACUCACUGUAAACUUGCUCCUCUCUUCUACCACCGACGACUGAAGAAACUGUAGGAUCAGUAUCGAUGAUUGGACUGCAUGUGUAACCUGGUCCUGGAGCAAGUAGGGUAAGGUUAAGAGGCCUGUAACCAGUGGGAUUUCCUCCUAAAUUGCCAACUGUCAUCUCAAAGGAUGAGAAUGACUUUGAAGGAUUGAUAGCCCAGGCAUCAAGUAUGCCACCUUUGCAACAAGCAUCUGACCUGUUCUGUGGCAGUGCAUCUGGCAUCCAAUCGAGUAUAUCAGGAUAUUUCAUGCAGGAAUGCGGUGUCUGAAACUUGAAAGACGAACAGUUCCCUUGAUGUGUAGCAAAAGCACCAGACAUUGACCAAAUAACUUCAUUUUGAGACCAAGUCCACCCAAUUCUCCACCCAGGCUUGUCCACAUGCCGGUACAAAUAGAAAUUUUGGAUGGUUAUUCUUGCCUAGAAACAUAGUCAUGUGGAAGAAGAAAGUAAUUAAUCGGAUUAUACGCAACUAAAUUCAAGAAUGGCAAACUCAAAGUUAUUAGUUCUGCUGUAGAUUCAAAUUGAUCAUUUGAAAGAUGCAUAGAUGUACUGAAUCGGAGGCUAAUGUGGCUUCCAAAGCAGCACAGAGAGGCUUCCUUUUCAUUUCUUGCCUUGUAGCAUUUUGAUUAUCAUUCUUUCCCUUAAAGUGGCACUUCUUUAACAGAACUAUGCUGGCAUACUGCUAGCAGAAAUUACUAGGCGCAAAUCAUGUUAAGGUCAAUGCUUGCAAUGGGACACCUGAAUGACUAAGGAGCAUACGCGGUGGAGGUAGCAACUCAAUUAAAAUGAACGAAAUAAAAUUUGAAGGAGCCAGAAACAGAAGGCUUAUGAUCAUGAUACCAACCACAUAGCCAUCAGAUGUAUACUGCAAUAUGUCAAAGGAGACUGUAAUGUUUCCAUUUGGAUCCAGAGGGUCGUAACAAUCUGCAAUCAACUUAGCACAGAUGGAUCAUCAAUAACAGAAAGAACUAAAUUUAACUCUCAAAUAAAGAACUGAUUCAAGAAAAAGAGAAGUGCCUGAUAAUCUGCAGAUUAUGAUCACUAGUAAUACAUAAAACAGGUUUGAACAACACAAUCGAUAAAGUAGCAACUCCAUAUCUCUUGGAGAACGGAGGAUUUGGAAUAAAUGGACAUGGUUGUGGUCAAACGAGACAGAAAACACCUAUAUGAGCUAUAUUACCGAGGUACCGGAUUUUCUAUAAAUGCUUUCUAGAUAAGUCCAUCACUUGAUCUCAUGCUCUAUGCAACUCUAGAAUACUUCAUUAAAGGCUUUCUAACAUGUGGCUGUUUAAGAAUGUUUCUAAUGGGUACCUAAUAAGCACUCGGCACAAAGAUCCAUCGUUUGAAAUGAAAAGUAGCCCCUGUAAACAUCACCUGACCCGUUGCAAACAGGCAAAUUAACCAUGUCAGGUUAAAUGAAUCCCAUAAAUUAACCAUGUCAGAUUCCCUUCGUGACGACACUUGCCACAAAGCAGCAGAAGACGUAAAAGUUUGGAGAACCCAUUUCGUCUUAUCCACCAUUAUUGAUCCGGCACCCAUUAUAUUAUUGUAACAAUGCCGCGAAAAUUAACUUGUUUGCAUAAUUCUAGUGAUAGCACACUGUACUUUUGGUGCUGUUGCUUGUACUAGGUAAGACGAAUUAGUCAACGGUUGAAAUUGUCUCUUCUUUAAAUAUCGUUUAAAAUUUUAAGCUGUACACGGUAGGUAUGUAUGACAAGACUUUUUUUUUUUUUUUUAUACUUAAAAGAGUAUCAUUAUUCUUGGUUUUUUGUUUCACAGCUUCUGAAAAUAUCCUAUAAUGAAAAGGAAUCCCCCUAAGAAUAUUUCUCGGAAUAAAAAAAUUUUAGAACGGAUUCAAAAUCAGACAAGUUCGUUCUUUUCUGUCAAGAUUGGUAAUUACGUACGUACAUCUGAUUGCAUGCAUAAGCCAAAACCGUAUGCUGCCUCUCUAGGCAUUUCGCCUGUUCCCGUGAAGGCAUCAAUCAGUUUUUGAUGUAGCUAAUUAAUCCUGAUUUUUACUUAGAAGUCAGAAGAAAAAAUUACACGAGUUAAGUAAUGAACUUAACUUGAAUGGUGAAAAACAUCGAAAAAGAUUAGCAUUUUAAUAAUCGAAGGUAUGGCUGCAAAUGGAAACCGAUCUUUUGAAAUUAUGAUUCACUAAAGGCAUUAUUUGGGUUGAGAAAUUGAUAAAUAAUUUGAAAUUCACCCAAAUCACUCUAUUUGUUUGGAUUACUUACGAUGCAUUUAGAUUUGUAAUUCAUCAAUUAUCAAAAUACUGUAAUAAUUAGCGAUUUACAAAUUCAAAUAUCUCUUAAAUAAUUUAAACAACUAGAAGGAUUUAUAAGAAUUUCAAAUCUUUCGUCAAAUCUUUCGAUCCAUGCCAGCCUUACAGUCUCUCAUGAAUCAUGAUGAGCAAGGAAAUUGUGGAAGAAUCACAAUUUGAUUUCCAUAUCAUUGAAUUUAUAGCCACGAAUUUCGUAAUUCAUCAAUUGCGCUGUUAUAUCCUCCCCCCAAGAGAAUACCAAAAGAAAAAGAAGAAAAAUAUUUGUUCGGCUGCUAAUUUUUAUACAACGGGGUCUCUUUCAAGCUAAAGCUCUUUAUCAAUGCCCAAAAAUGAAAAAAAAAAAAGGGUUAAUUUUAGAAAGAUACAGUCGUCUGAAAGCUUAAUUUUGUCAUGUUAGAGACAGCACUUGGAUGUAACUAAUAAUCUGCAGCUCCAUUUUCGAGAGUGAAAACACAACGAAAUUGAAAUUGAGGAAAAUUCAAAUCCCUUUUUUUUAAAAAAAAAAAGAAAAAGAAUCCCAAGACCUUGGUUAGGUUCUUAGGUUUGCCUUUCUCAUAGAGUAAUUAUAAUAGAAACGUUAUCGUAGUUUACAUCUGCAAAGAGACGGCAAAUCAAACAGGAAAAAUAAAAGUCUGAGCACCUUCUAAUAUGUACCAACACCGUAUUUGUGGGUAGAGGAUGAACACAAAUAUGAACCUCAUCUUCCGUAACAGUAGUGGAAUCCAGUUGCUGCAGUAUUCAGAAGAUUAGACUCAUCUUCGUCACUCUCUCUCUCUCUACCCAGUUAUCUGUCAGUUCACAAUCAUUGUGAAAUAAUCAAAAGGUUCAUAACUGCGUCAUUUUGUUUAUGAUGAAUAGAUAAGCAUAUAUGAAAAUCAACUCUGUCUAAGAAUGUCUCAUCAUUCAGUUUGCACAAAACAUUUAGUCAAUUUAGUCAAUGAGAAUAAUCAUAACCCAAAUUCAGUCAAUUUAGUUUGAAUUUGUGUAUAACCAAAAGAGAUGAUGAUGUACAUUUAUGAAUUUGAUCUCAAAUGUAAUUUUAAAAUUAUGUCUAUUAAUGCAUGAUUAGGAUUGAAAAAUGAAUCAGAUUAUUCGAUACUCGAAUUGAGUUUGAUUUGAUAAGAACUCGUUCAAAUUUUAGUAGCCAACUAGUCAAGAUAAAUUUGAACAGCAUUUUAUAUUCUAUAACAUUUAAAUUUGAUAAAAAAAAAUUCGUUUAAAUUCGAUUUAACAAAUCAACAAGUCAAAUUUAAACAAAAUUUCAAACUCGUUAAAAUAAUCAAACAAAUAUAAACACUAGAGUAUUCAGAUUGAUUAGGUUGUUUACACCCCUAUGCAUAAUAGAGGGAAGUUUUCUCCAUUAAAAUGCCGAGUGCCCAAGCCAACUACAUGUCCAAAAAAAAAAACAAAUUGAGAUCACCUAAAUUAAAAAGAAAAAAGGGAAUCGCGGACUGUUUCAUCUGGAAGUGGAGAAACCUUUACGUCAAUUUGAGUUAACGGGGCACAUAUGCUUGACUACUUUUGAGAAAUUUAUUCCUGAUAUUGUGAUUUUUUUUUCACUUACGCGCAAAUAACACACACACAAACUAAUAAAUACACACGCACGAGCAAUUAACGAAAGAAUGCCCGAAAGUAGUGGAAGGGGGACCCACUAAGAAUCCACGUUUAUCCAAUUGGUGACAAAACGAGAUCCCUAUGGACCUUAUACCCAGAGUAAAGACCCCAUGAUUUUUUGAUGUGGGAUGGUUGCCCAACCCCCUGCCCGUGCACACACACUCACCAGCCAAUGGGUUAGUAUUUUUUCCCUUACGGCAAAUAACACAUAUAUGCAAACUAAUAAAUACACACGCACAAGUAGUUAACGAAGAACGGCUUGAAAGCAGUAGAAAGGGGAUCCACUAAGAACCUACGUUCAGCCAAUUGGUGAGAUCUUGUACCCAAAGAUACAUACUCCUCAUGUUGAAGAAACGGUACGGCAGAUCACUAUUAAUUGUGCAGCUAUUAGCCUAUUACCUCAAAAAAAGAAUCUCCAUUUUGUGCGAUAAUUUUAAUUGAGGGGGUUCCGUUCCAAGUCUAAAAAUACUUUUUUAUCUUUGAAAAAUGGUUACUGUCUAAAAUCAUAUUCUAAAUUCUAAUACAGUCCUUAAUGGAUAAUAUAGAAAUGGAGUUGUCUGAAAGGCUAGCUAAUUUAUAUAGUCUGUAUCAGUAUUAUUGUGGGUGAGAACAAGGACAAAGCUCCUUGCAUGUAAAGAUAAAUUUCAAUCGUUAUCUCCACCACAUCAGCUGCUAAGAUUUGUUACUGAAAACCCUUUUUAAAUUUAUCGAGUGUUUUCUCGCCGGCGUGAAAAUAAAUAGGCUGCUGAUUUCUGGUAAAAAGUCGAGUAGUUAAUGUCUAAAUUACUACUAACUUUUUUAACUAUUGGAUGACAACCCAUCACUAAGCAGAAAUUAAUCCUUCACAAUAAAUCUAGGAGCGCUUUUACAGGUGCACCCUCCACGAUUUUAAGAAUCGUAUUAACCUUUUUCCUCAUUUCUCACCAAAAUUCGCGUACAAUUCUAAUGGAUUCUACAAUUAAUGGAAGCGACUGUGGAUAGGUUUAAUUGGCAUAAUGGAAGAGACUGUAUGAUGUGUUUUUUCUUUUUCCUUCUUUUGAAACAGUUUAGUUUCUACUGAAUUGAUGGGUAAGGCCUCGUCGACCUCUAUGGGGGUCUAAUACCACUGUAUAGUGGUCCAACUCCUUUUGUUCCUCGCUAUAAUAGUUUUGGUUUUUUUUUUUUACUCAGUUUAACAAGAAUUAUUUAAUUUUAUUGAAAGAGUAAAUCUAGUUUACUAUUUUUCUAAAAUACAUUUACAUUAAUAUUAAGAGUGUGACUAAUCACUAUAGCUUUAUAUUAAUUACAACAAUAGUAUUAUAAAAACUUGUAUCAUUCAAACCAUGAAUCCAAGCAAUUAUUGAAUAAAGUAGGUUAUAUUAACUUAUAACAAAGUACAUUAAUAUUUUAGAAAAAUUACAAAUUAAUUAUAUUUUUCAAUUGAAAAGUAAAUUAUAAUUUAAAAUAAAUAAAAAAGGAAAGCAAGAAUGUCAAAAUAGGUUAGAAGAAGUAUUAAUUAUGACUCCCGUUUUGUUGAAUCUAACCCACAAUAGUUAACAUUUCUUGACCGUGUAAUUAAAUGUACUUUUCAUAUGCAUGGUUAAAUCGAACUGAUUAAUACUGGCGAAGUAAGAGUGGUAACAUCCUGCAUUAGCAAUAUUUACAAUAAAACUGUCACUAAUGUUUGAGACCUCAAUCUUCACGCACCUCUCCCGUAGGAAAAACUAGCAAGCACAAAGUACCAAAGAAGAAUAGAAGAUAGAAGAAAAGGCAAAAACUAUUAGCAGUUCUACCAUUGCAUAUCAUCACAAGCUAUUUAAUUCUGACGAUCUGGCUCCACUUUUUGAGAUUCAUCAUCCCCAUUCAUACUUUUUUGCAGUUGGGAAGGAUACUGACCUGCAACAACAUAUUAAUUACAUGUCCUCUACCUAUAGCUACAGUUGUGGUCUGUCGAGUUGACACUUUUUUCACUUUUAUUAAGGAGUAGCUUUUAGCUCAUUACUUGUUCUUUUUCAAUUGAGUUCUAAUCAACGCUGAAACUGAGUGGAAUUUGAGAUAAACACUAGCAUACUGCUUUUUUUACUCGAAAAAAAGAAUGAAUCAAGUUAUCAAAUGCAACCAAAUGACCGAUGUUAGAUCGAUGAAUAUCCAAUCUCUCAAGUUUUAGCUUGAGCACUACUACUUUGCAGUGAUUGACAAAAGAUUGACACUGGACUUCACAUCUGUCUUUUUAACUCUAAAUUUGGUCGUAUUCGCACAGUCAAAGCAUUCUGUGUUCGAGGUUAAGGCAUAAGCAAAUUCCCAUGCACAGCAACGAAAAGGGAAAUAUAGCUGGUUUGUUAAUGAGUAUGAAAAAGCAGUUGCUAUGUUGUUGCUACCUUCACCAGUUAGUGCAACCACGUUAAUAUGGUCCUUUUUUAUUCUUGAACUUUAGAUAUUUGGCUCACUUCUCAACCACCAAAAAGUAGGACCGAAUUUAUUGGAGGAGAAGGGCAGCUGAACAAGUACUUUCUGAUCUAUAUGUAUAUGGGAGACAUAUGAGUUUUCUCAUUCUGACCCUUUUCAGUUUUCAAGAGUAGCGUUCUAGCUAAGCCAAAAGUAUAUGAACUAGCCAUGGAGAAUGCUUUUCCGAAAGGUUUGGUAUGCUGAACUUGAAGAUGCUUUCCUGACGAAUUAAAACUACAACAACAGUCAGUUCAUAGAAGUAUCACCAAAGCAAAUUGAACCCAACGACGGCCAAGAUGAUCAAUCGUCAAGUGGUGCAAGAGCAAACAAGAAUAGUAAAUGCAUGCCCCCUUAUUCAUGUGUGUUGAAAGUUGGAAACUCAUUGCCCACUUGUGGCCAAACUACUUCAAUUGAAUGUGUCAAAUUGUGACAAAUAAGGGAUCAUUGAUGACAGAAAGUUCGAAUACAUACUAUUAUUGAUUAUAAAAAUUCCAUACCUAUUGCUGAACCCAUCAAUGGGUAUCUAGAUCCUAUUUUGCAAGACUUUUCUUGGAAUAGUUUAUAACAGGCACUGAAAAUUACUGCAACUAAUACUCCUUAGUCAAGGAGGCAUGUGCUUGUAGCAUAUCUUUUCUGAAUUUUCUAUGCUCCCCACUUUAUAGUUACCGUAUUACUGAAAAGAUAAAGACGUAAAGCAAAUAUAAGUGCUAAUGAAAAACAUAGAGGAGAAGUAACUAAAAUGCACUAGUGAAUCGUGGACAAAUAAAUUCUGAGCCACUCAAGCACGAGAAAUCAAAUUGUAGGGUUUGUAUCACCUGUCACUUGUGAAUAAGCCACGCUUCUUGCUACAAUUAUUUUUAAGUGACAUUAAUAUUGAGUAUUGACAGCUUUGUAAAGCAAGUCCUCAUGGAUAGCCUCUAUGCCACUAGACAGUGGACUUUGCUAGAAGUUGACUGGGUCGCUAUAAAUAGCGCAACAGGCUCAAUUAUAAGUUACAAACUAGCAAAUGAAACAUAUAGCUGAUUGAGUAGAUGGCUGCAGAUGCUGGAAAUGUAUACGUUAACAUGGAAGAAGAAAGCCAUGCUGCCGGAAAUAGAAUACAACCUAUGUCUAUUGCUCCCGCGUAAGUAUCUCAUAACUUCACCACCACUGCUACUUGCACUUAAAUAAUUUGUCUGUUCUCCAUUUUUAGUUUUUGUCAGUUUUAUUCGAAAUCUCCUGACUUCUUGCACGAAUUUGCAACAUACUUUUUUGCAGACCAGCACAGUGGACUGCUGAUGAAAAGAAACAAUCAUCUUUCAGCCUGAGCGAAAGGCUAGGCUUGGACGAGUUUCUCUCCUUAAAUGUUAGUGAAAAUCUUUCAACGGACAGACCCGUUUUGCAGUUCAAGCUGCGUUCAUUAGGAUUGGAAUUGUGUAACACGAGGCUUUAUUUCUUUUGCUCGUAUCUUGAUCAAAUUUCACGUUGGGUUGAUAUAUAACUUUGAUGCAGGUCUGGAGAGCAUCUGUAGGGGAACUUCUUGGCUCAGCCGUUUUGGUCUUCAUGAUUGACACCAUAGUCAUAUCAACCAUCGAGACAGAUGUGAAAAUGCCAAACCUGAUUUUAUCAAUUCUCGUGGCCAUUAUCAUUGCGAUUCUUCUACUAGCCGUGCAUCCAGUUUCUGGAGGCCACAUAAACCCCAUCAUCUCAUUCUCCGCGGCAUUAGUCGGGCUUAUAUCAAUGUCGCGCGCCAUAAUCUAUAUCAUCGCUCAAUGUGCGGGCGGCGUGCUAGGGGCACUAGCACUUAAAGCGGUGGUUAGCAGUAACAUCGAAAGAACCUUCUCACUGGGAGGUUGCACCCUCACCGUAAUAGCACCGGGUCCCCAAGGGCCAGUGACAAUAGGCCUGGAGACUGCCCAGGCGUUUUGGCUGGAGGUCUUUUGUAGCUUCGUGUUCUUGUUCGCUUCAGUCUGGAUGGCAUACGACCAUCGUCAGAGAAACUCCAUUGGCCUGAUUCCUGUUUUCUCAAUCAUCGGAAUCGUGCUGGGUCUUCUGGUGUUUGUAUCGACGACAGUCACUGCUACUAAGGGUUAUGCGGGCGCAGGGAUGAACCCUGCUAGGUGUUUCGGCGCAGCAGUUGUUAGAGGAGGCCACCUGUGGGAGGAGCACUGGAUAUUCUGGGCAGGGCCUGCUGUAGCUUGUUUUGCAUUCUACGUUUACACGCGGAUCAUUCCUAAUAAUCAUUUUCAUGCAGAAGGGUUCAAGCAUGAUUUCUUUGGCAUCCUAAGGACUAUUAGCAGGCUGGAACGUUAAACAUGGUAGAAAUUUACCAGGAUGGAGUUGUUGCCUUAGCCUAUAGCUAAAAAGGGGAAGACGAUGUAUGAUACUUUCCUAUAUAUACGUGAUUGUGAUCGGUGAUCAUAUUCGUACUAACAAGCUAGACUUUCUGUAUUUCGAUGGAGAAUGUCUUCUAUGAUAGUAAACCCUUGUAUGGUAUUUACUUCCAAUCGUGUCAAGUGUAAACGGAUGUUGUUCCCAAGGGAACAGAUUAUGAAUGUCAAACUUCCUAUCCCGUCGGGUGUAAACUGAUGCUGUUCCCAAGAGAACAGAUUAUGAAUGUCAACUAUUGAGGUGUGGAUGUAAAUGUUGCCAUGCCUGCCGAAAUUGUUGAGCAUUAAGUUCAAAAUUUUUAAUACGCGACCGCUGGCGCCUCAAUAAUUAGUUGCAUGUCUGAUGUCUAAAUUUCAUCUUCUUGUUAACGAUCGCCCUUGCAUUUUGCCUUCACCUUUUUCGUCUUUCGGGUUGAGAUUUGAGAAGAAAGAAAUCAGGAAGGUUCCAAGGCCCACCACAAGACUAGAAUACAAUAUCACAGAUCGUCUGCAUGCAAAUGAGAAAUUGAGAAUAGGCCGUCUGAAUAAUCGGGCCGACUCAGUCAUCAACACUUCCAAGUGGCCUUUUUGAUGUGCAAGUCAAUUUGGGAGUUUAUAUAUAUUCAACAAUCGCAUUUAUGAGUUUACCAAUUAGGAAAAUCAGAAAUACAACAAUUAUAAGUUUAUCGUAUUUGGGAAUUGAGAAUUUCAACUUGCAUGAGUUUAUCCUUUCGAAAAAUUUCGAAAUUUAACGCGUACUGAUUCUCGUUAAAUGUUACGAAACCCAACACAUUUAACAACCGGGACAUUAACCAAAUAGCUUUAAGAUCCCUGAUUUAACAAACCCAAUACAUUUAAUGUAUAUAUAUGCUAAAAAGGUGAUUGAAAAAUAUAUUUACGAAAAAUAUAAAAAAAAAUUUUGGAUAAAAAUUACAUUCCAAAUAAGGUCCAGCGCUGCGGUUGGCGUCUGCUCUAGCUCACCAUCCAUCACCAUAAUUGCAGGGGGCCAUUCGGGUUGAAAGUUGAAACACUUUUGAGGUCCUUUAUAUCGUUAACUCCUUGUCGAUAUUGCUUCGUGUUUAAGCUGCGUCUUACCCUCUUCUAUGGGAAUCCCAAAAGUGUCAAGUCAUUAAUUGAUUGCUUAAUCAUCAAUUAUUCAGCUGUGCUAUGCGUCCUUGUAUUUGUAUCAACCACAGUCCGCCCACAAUCACAAUCGAAAGGCGCAACGGAUCUCGUCGUAUAUUACUCAGUUAAUAAUUAUUAAAUUUUUAAAAAAAUAAAAAAUUAAAUUAUGAUAUUUAUAAAGGAGAAAUAACUUAUUAAGGCUUGGCAUAAUUGGUAAAUAAUUAGGGGUGAGUCCCCACCCACUGACGGAAAUGUACAUUUUAGGUCAAUCAUUUUUUGAUCAUUACUCUUGUGUAUUAGCGUACCUUGGAAGACGAUUGCAGAUCCGUCUCGCCCUUCUUAUCAUUUAUUUUUUAAAAGCUAAUUAUAUUAAUUUAUUUUUGUAUUUCACAUGUUCAUCUUAAAUUCAUCAUUGAUUGUUCUCAAAAGAAUUCUCAUGCCCUGAAACAAACAUCCAAAGGAAUAAAAGAAAAAGGGAAAAAAAAUAAAAGAUUCCAAAAUCAAUAAAAACUAUAAUAAGCAUAAUCCCUUUCAUUUAUUAUACAUCUAUUAAACUCUUUUCUCAAAAAAAAAAAAAAAAGAAGAUGAUGAUGAUCUCUACAAAUGAAUAUUAUAAACAAAUUAUAAUCUUUCGUAUUUGGAUUGUAAUUUGCUCAAUAAAGUUAAUUAGUUAACUCAUAAAAUAAUAUUUUUUGUACAUAUAUAAAAAUAUAUAUAUAUAUAUAUAUAUGCAAGGCUCGACCCUUUUUUGAUCCGAUCAAAAGAUUAUCUAAUCUUUAGAAAUGGAUUGGUACGGAUUCCACCAUCAAUGGGUUAACAGAUUUUUGGCCCUAACCUAAUCGGCAUACCCUAACCUAAUCGGUAAAAUUGGUUUAAUAACACGAUACGAGCCCAUUCAACCGUUCUAAAGUUCAAAGUCUUUCAACACACACACACGCACGCACAAGGCCUGCGCACACAAAACAAGAAUAAAUAGCAUGACAAUGACCCAACCAAAAAAAGAAAAGGAAAGGAAAAGAGGAAUGAAAUGAAAUGCUCUUCAAAUUUUCUAAAUUCUUUCUUAUUGGAUAAUAAGCCAGUACUCGAAUAUUUCUUCUCAUGACGAUCGAAUAUUUCAAUUCUGGUCAUAGGGUCGGACUAGAACAUCAAAUCUCUGAAGAGAAAGAUUGUCAUAUUGUAGUUGGCCUGGAAACAAGAACAACUUGUUUUGGCAUUGUAAAUUUGCACCUCAUCCAGAUUCUGUAUAGAGAACGAAAUCAUCUACGUAGCUUAAAAUUCAUCUGUGUUCAAUUUUAGUCGUUAAAAGUUACAAGGACUAUUAUUCCUGCUUUCUUCAUAAUUCAACAGGUCAUAUUUGUCAACAGCAUUAUGAAGAAGGAGCUUCCAAAAGCGUGGAGGAGGACGCAAGCGGCACAUGCAGGGCAGAGUUUGUGGUCCUUUUGUGGAAACAGAUAUUGGAUUGCCUUCCAGUUGCAGCAUGGUACUCCCAAGUAUUUCAGUCAGAAGCUUCUUAAACUCAUCUUCUUUAACCAACUUCCUGUCAUCCGCAUCUAACUUCUUGAAAGCUUCAUUUAUGAUUUUGUCGAUCUGCAGAGAUUAGCUAAAGCGUUUGGUAAGAUGAGCUUAAGACCGGAGAACCUCUAAUCAGCCUGAAAAGUACCCAGUUCGAGGUGAAACUGCACCAGGCUUGAGGACUGUUCCUUUUACACAUUAAGCCAAAUGCAGAUUCUAUAAAUAGGUCAGAAAGCUAAUCGAUUAACUUGUACAUAGCUAUUUCUUCAAUUAUCCCUUACUAUGAUUUCCCAAUUGGAACGGCAAGUCUCAUCUCAUAAUAAGUAGUAAAAAUGAGCUAACCUCGAAAGACUGAUUACCUGAUCAACAGCACCCAGUGGGCCUAAGCCAGAUGAUGGGACCAGAACAUCCAGAGCAACACGCAGAUUUGUUUUGACAAUUUUCCACUGCGAUCUCUUGGAAUCAAGGCUUGCCAUAUCGGCUGCAACAACUUGGCCGAGUCAUGACCGGAACGGGGCUAACAAUAUGAUACCGUUACCCGCAUCGCCUCUGAAACUAAGUCGGAUACAUAUCGCGGAGAACUCUGCGAUAUGCAAUAAUAUGAUACAGAAUCGUCGAAUAGUGGCGAGAACUUGGCGAUAUCUACUGUUAUGAAUCGGAAACAAGAGAAAGGAAAAUUUCAAGACACAAACCUAUAGCUAAAUACUAAAGCUUUCCCACCCCUGUGACAUGAAACAAAACAAAAUGAAAUGUCACGCAAAAGGACGUUCAUAGAGCUUCUGGAAAGUUUUUAUUCCUGCAACUUCAGCCGAUGAAUGCAUCACAUUUCACGUACAUAUCAAUCAAGGAAGUCCCGAAAUGUAUAUGAAAAUCUAAACCAGUUCCGGUGCUCAUCCGAUGAACGCACUUUCCCAGCCAAAACAUGAUAACUCUGCAUGCACAAGACUAAUAAAAGAAAACAAACAGUAUCCAAAGCAAAUUUGAUAGGUAUGUAAAAAGAAUAAAAAUAUGUUCUUACUAUAUUUGAUAGAAUUCAAAAGUUAUACAUAAUUCAUGAAUUUUAAUAUUUUCGUGACAUUUAUUAUUGUUGUUUUUUUAUUUUAGAAAAUUGAGAUCAAUCACCUAGGCAUUUCUGUUGAUCAAUGUAGGUGAAAAUGCUUAUUGAGAAUAUGGUGAAAAUGCUUGCUUCUUUAUGUCUUUAUAUUUUAUAACCUUAUUUGAUAGGUAUUUGUUUCUUUUGCUCUAUUGAAGUAAACACUGCUACUUUCUUUAUGUAUUGGGAUUCUCAUUGUGUUAUUUAAGAUAUGAUGGUUUUACUCUUAUAUUUAAUUUUUGAUGUCAUACAAAAUAGGAUUAGAAGACACACUUGAUGCUAAAAUCUUUUACUACUAAUGCUAUAGGUUUAUGGUAAUGG